rnacentral:lncRNA from 1 species
CUACUCACCUUCCGGGAGAAGCACGAUAAAUCGCAUUGAAAAAAGGUGGGAGCCAAGCCGGACUGUGAGAUCAAAGAAGGAUGAAGCCGAUCCGGAUUGGGGAACGUGGGGGGAAAGAGGGGGAAAUGGUGGAAAGAAGGAGAAAAUGUGGAAAAGGUGGAAGAAAGACGAAAGGAAACAAAAGGGAAACGUGGAAGAACGGAAGAAAUGGGAGAAGUUGGAAAAGGGACUGAGGUCAAAGAAAACAGAUACACGGGGUUGAGUGGCAAACAGGCCACUGGGCGGGGGUACAUGGAAGAUGAAGGAGAAGGAGAAGGAAAGAAAAGGAAAAAGGAGAAAGGAGAAAGGAGAAGAGAAGGACUGCCACCGACCCUGGCCAUAACUAGGGUCGGUGGCUGCGGGAAGAAUGAAGUGGAGGACACACACACAACAGGUAUAACAAGUUUAGGAACCGGAAGGCGAUAUUCCGUUCCUUAUUCGUAAUUUUUUUCACACAUACCGCAAAGCUUUUGAAAUGAACAAACCAACUCGUAUAUAUUCGCUUCAGACCUAGGGGAUAAGAACGAUAGAUCCAGAUGUUUUCCUGUUCUCAAGGUCUGCGUGUGCCUGUGCUGCUUCAGAUAAUGAGUAGGUGUGAUUCACUCGAACCCGCAAUAUACCCGAUGCAACAUUAGCAAAUACCUCUCCUGCAGCCUUCCUCUCGGGUUACAGCGUAAUGAAAGAGGCUAGGCCGAGUCAAGAAGAGUGAUUUCGCUGCAAGGGCUGAUAAUGGAACUGGAUCAGACGCACCUGAUGACUGCCCAAAAUUCACCAUGUAUCCCCGAAGUUUUAAGACUUCCAGUGAUCCCUGAAAACAAUACCUCCCGAUAAGAAUUCAUAGUCGACAACAUUACUUAUCUAUUAGAUGAUGUCAAUGUUGGAGUUGAGUAGUUUGGAUAAAUCAUGACAAGCUUAUGAAUAUAAGACAAGUAUAACUUACCUCAAACGUAUCCUUCCCUACAGAAUCGUAGACAACUUCAACCCCAUUGUUGCGAUGGGGGGUGAGAACGGGAAAGCCAUUGUAGCAGUUGCAGAGACCAGAAUCAAAUUAUAAGGGCAAAGACCAGUUCAGCCUGUUUUGAAGGGAACAGAUAAAAAAUAUGUCAAAGAAGAUCGAAGGCCACUACUUUUCAGAGGUUCUACAAAUUCAAGAGAAAAAAUGGCAAUAAAUCACAACGGUUUCCCUCUUUCGCUAAGAAAAACUAAGGUAUAUAUAAGAAGGAAACCAGCUUUGAUUUCACACGAACUCGAAAACCAAGUUAAACAAUAAAUCAUCAAAAUUUCCCUCUACUCCAAUAAAGCAACGUAAACAAUAAUCUUUCUGAGUCAACUGUUUGGUUGGUGAGAAAAUAAAAGAAAGUCAAAUCCUCUCCCCCCAUCAUUCCCAAAUACAAAAUUUCUCAAGUUAAAUUAAAAAACUUAAAAUCUCAACUAAACCAAUCAGCUCCAAUCAAUUCUUUUCACUGUAAUCUGUCUAAAGAUGAUUCCUUUUUCAUCAAAUGUUAUCCAAUUAUCAAAACCCAGUUCCUACUAAUUACAUAUAAAAAUUGGCCAAAUCAACAUCAAUCAACCUGAUUAAAAUUUUAAUUACAAAUUGAAAAGGAAAAUAGUACUAAUACAGCAGUAGUUGAAUAAAAUUUUAAUUUACUUUUCCACUAAUUAAAACAAACAAAAACGCCAGUUUUAAUCAGUGAAAUUCGAGAGAAGAUUACCUCGUUGGGGCUUGCUGAUCAAGGAAGCUAGAAGCGAAGCAGCUGAAGGGCGAAUAUUGCACAAUUGCAAAUAGAAAAAUCCAUUCUUUUUAGAGAGAGAGAGAAGAGAGAGAGAGAGAGAGGAGAGAGAAAGUCGUCCUCUAGAAAAUUAAAAAAAAAGCGCUUGUCUGCGAUUGGUUGGGCAUUCAGUGGGGUAGGCGGACGAAUAGUAUGACGCCACGUACGCGCUAACUGGCGAACACGCGGGCUGGGACUCGCGGGUGAUCCUGGAGAUUUAACUGAUAUAACCGUCGCGUGCGCGGACUGAACACUUUUGUUUGGUUUGAAGUUUAAAGUUAUGAUUGAGAUUAACGUAUUCUUUUGUUGAAAGUAGACUGAGAUAAUCAACUUCUUAAUCAAACUGCCUGUGUCAAGGGCCCCACUCCACUCCCACGUUGUAAUCUUUUCUGUUAUGGUGAUGGUGCUAAGUAAAAUCAAGGGUGAGGAUUGAGGGAAUCAAUCAAACGGUUGGCAAUAAAUAAGAAAGUUCGAAAAGUCAACCUGCUCAUAGCAGGUAAUGUUUGGACCUACUUAUUUCAACUCAUUUAGGUAAAUUUAGCCAAGGAUUUUCAUGGAUCAAUGAGCUAACUCAUUAUAUAUGUGUACUUUUUUUUAAUUUUAUAUUUAUAAAUUUAUUGAAUUUAACGGCUAAAACCUAAUGUGAUCAAAUCCAAUGAUAAAAAAAAAAAAUCUAACGUUCCAAAUUUAAAUUCAAUGGCUAAAGUAAAUAAAAAAAUUAUUUUAUGUGUUUCAUAUUCUUUCAUAGUGUUCCAUGAGUUUCAUGAUGUUGAUUUAGAGAUUUUUCAAUAUAUAUCGGAAUCUAAUUUUUUUUUAGGUUAAAAUGUUCAUAAAAUUAAAUUAUGAUAGUCUACCUAAUAUUUUUUUAAGUUACUUUAAGAAAAAAAUAUCCUAAAUUCAUUCUUUAAUACUCUCGGGCUAAAAUUUAAACCAAAAGCUUUGGAGGAGAAAAAUUGUUUCUGGUUAAACCCCAAAUUUUCUAGCUUAAAAAUUUGAAGUUUUAACUCAAAAGUUGGAGAUGAUCAAGUAAAGGAAUAGGAUCCUCUCAAGAUCCUAGCAAAAAUUGAACAGUCAAAAAUUAAUUUUUUGUUUAUGUCCACUUUUUUCUGUCCAUAUUCUUUUAUCUUCACCUUUUGCUGUUCAUCUUCUUCCAUCUUCUUCCCGGUUAAUAUGCUCAUGUUCAUCUUCUUCUCUCUUCAAGGUCAUUUAAUGGAAUAAUGUUUGAUUAUUAUUGUUGUUGUAUUUUUUUUUAACAAACGAUAUUAUUUAUACUAACAGUGUAGGGGAGUUAACUCAGCCUUACAAUGAGUUAGCAAUGAUGUGAUUCAAAUUUAUCUUUAACGAGAUUCAAACUUAAAACCUCUCAUUUACAAAUGAUAUUGUUGUUGUAUUUAAACCUUGGAUUUUUAACAUUUUUUAAUAUUUAGUAUUGAAUGAUAUGAAAAUAAAUGGUUAAUUUAAAAAAAAAGAAUAUUUGUAACAUAACAUUGAAUAAUAAGAGCAAUGAUGCCAUACUCGUAAAUCACUGUUUGUUUAUGUUAUUUUAUUUUAUUUUAUAUAAUCAAUUCAUAGAUCUUCGUUAUAAGUACAUCAAAGAGCUUCCAUCUUGGUGUCCUUGCUAGAGUCCCCCACAAUCCUCCUCCAAAACCAGUGCUCCUGCCACACUAUCUCCAUCUUCUCAAUCGGCACAUUCUUCGUCUCCGGCAAAAACAAGUACACAAACACCGUCAUCACCGCCACCCAACCCCCGAAAAAGAAGAAAAUCCCAGCCUUGAAGUGGCACAGCAUUGCUAGAAAAGUUUGAGCAACAAUGAAAGUGAACAAAAAGUUCACCACCACAUUGAUACUUUCUCCCGCUGAUCGAAUUUCCAACGGGAAAAUCUCACUCGGAACCAACCAUCCGAGCGGCCCCCAUGACCACCCGAAUCCCGCUACAUAAAUGCAUAUCAAAACCAGCACCAAAUAGGCAUACCCCUUGCUCACUCCACCGCGAUCACCAAGCUGAGCUGCCAUUACACCUCCCACCACGAUUUGUGACACCAACAUUUGAAUCCCACCAGCUAAAAACAACGCUCUUCGCCCAAAUUUGUCUACGAUAAGCAUAGAUACGAAUGUUGAGAUUGUACCAACCACUCCAGUCGUCAGGACAACGGACAAGAGCGAAGCGCUUUCUCCCAACCCAAUUGUUCGAAAAAGUACGGCAGAAUAAAAGGAUAUGACAUUGAUCCCUGUCACUUGCUGAAAAAAUGGUAUGGCUAUUGCCAUCACAAGCUGAGGCCUAUACUUUCUCUCCAGGAUUUUCUUAAAAGGGUGUUUAAUGUUUUUCCAUAUGUUGUUUGCCUUGAUCAGAUCAUCGAGUUCUGCUUGGACAUCAUUGACACCUCUGAUACGUUGUAGCAUUUGCUUGGCUGUAUGGUGAUCCGCGCUAUGCUGGAUUAGGCUGUUAGGUGUUUUGGGAAGGAAAAAUGCUCCCAGUGUUAGCAUUGAGGCAGGGACUGCAGCCAUGGCUAGGGAGAUUCGCCACCCCCAACCGCCUUUGAUCUUCUCAGAGCCGUAGUUGAUGAGGUUAGCUGAUAAUACGCCAAUGCCGACGCUAAAUUGGAAGCCAUUGUUAAUUGCUCCUCUGUAUUUUGGUGGUGCCAUUUCCGAAAGGUACAAUGGAACAGCCUGCACAACACAAACACAGAUUACACAAGUAACACGAAAAAUAGAAACAUCGAAUAGGGUAUGCUUAUAUGAUUAAUGUUGGGGGCAAAAAGUACUACCUGAUUUCCAAAACCAAUACCAACUCCAAGCAAUAAGCGGCCGAGGAUGAGCAUGUAGAUGUUCAUAGCUGCGCCAUUUAGAGCUGAGCCGGCAAGGAAUGCAGCUCCACCGGCAAGGAUUGAAGGCUUGCGGCCGUAAGCCCUUGUGACCAAACCGGCAAAAAGGGAAGCUACAAGACCAGCUAUGUAGAGUGAGGAUGUGAAGGAUGUUGAUUAUUGACUCAAACAUGUAGUCAAAGUCCAAAUCUUUGGGCUACUUUUGUGGUCAAAAUUGUUGGAUGGCAUGCUACAUGUGGGAAACCAAAAUUGGAUGCACUUAUGCCUAAUUCUUUUUGACUUGAUGUUAGGCCUUUGGCCAUUGAUGUCUUUGAGAAGCUUUUCUUUGGCUAUAAAAGGAGAGCAAGGUGCAACCCAUAAGCAUGGAGAAGUAGAGAAGAACAAGGAAGAGAGAAAAAUAGCAAGAAGCCAUUUGGCAUAGAGAAGAAUUUUCUCAAAUUGUCUUGUUUUGUAUUUUUGGUUUUCUCUUCCUAUUGUAAGUGUGAGAGCUUGGGGUUAUUUGGGUCUUUGGGAAAUUGAGUGAUAAACACUAUUGUAUGUUCUCAUUGAUUAUAGUGGAAUACUCCGUCGUCUCCAAACUGGAUGUAGGCAUUGCCGAACCAGUAUAAAUCUUGGUGUUCUUGUUGGUGUUGUUUUUAUUCUGUUCUGUCUUACUAUUCACUUACAGUCGUAUGCCGCUUCCGCACAACAAGUGGUAUCAGAGCCCAGUUCUGUGAAUAGUGUUGGCGCUACAGUUCAGUGAACAGUGAACUGCUACAGUAUCUGUGAACAGUAUUGUACCUGUGAACAGUGCCGUAUUUGUGAAUAGUGCCGAGUAGAUGGCUGGAGAUAAAGAUGAAUCUGUAAGGAAGGAGUCAGCAUCGUCUUCGUCUACAUCCAAUAGACAUCCAACCACUACUACAAGGUUAGAGGUUGAUAAAUUCAAUGGCUCUAAUAAUUUUGGUAUGUGGCAAUGUGAAGUUAUGGAUGUGUUGUAUCAACAAGAGUUGGAUAUGGUUCUGGAAGAUAAACCAGAAGAUAUUGAUGACAAGCAGUGGACACGAAUUAAUCUUCAUGCUUGUGCUGCUAUUCGAUCAUUCAUUGAUAAGGAGUUGAAAUACCCGUAUAUGAAGGAAACUUCUGCUAAGGAGUUAUGGACGAAAUUGGAGGAGAAGUAUAUGACCAAGAGCGCAGAAAAUCGUCUCUUCUUGAAGAAGCGACUCUUCCGAUUUCAGUAUCGUCCAGGUAUCUCUAUGCAUGAACACCUCAAUGAUUAUAAUAAAAUACUUGCUGAUUUAGCAAACCUUGAUGUGAAAAUUCCUGACGAGGACAAGGCACUAUGUUUGUUAAAUUCAUUGCCUGAUGAUUAUGAUCAUUUGACAACUACUCUGUUGUAUGGAAAAUCCGAGGUGAAACUUGAUGAGGUGUCUGCGGCAUUGGUGAAUCAUGAGUGUCGUAAGAAGGAACUGAAGACUCACAAUUCACAAACCGAGGCAUUUGUUGCAAGGGGUCGAACAGAGGAAAGAAAAUCUGGGAAGCGGGGAAAAUCUCGUUCAAAGUCACGAGGGAAGUUUCCUGCUAAAGAUGAAUGUGCUUUUUGUCGCCAAAAGGGGCAUUGGAAGAAAGACUGCCCCAAAUUGAAGAACAAAGAGAAGGAGAAAGCGGGUUCUGAAGCAAAUAUUGCAAAAUCUGGAGAUGAUGAUUUCGAGUUUGCUUUGGCUAGUUCAUAUGCUAAUGGUCACUCAAAUGAGUGGAUUUUGGAUUCAGGUUGCACCUAUCAUAUGUGUCCCAUUCGGGAAUGGUUUUCUAAUUUCAAGGAGCUGGAUGGUGGAGUUGUUUUGAUGGGUAAUAAUAAUGCCUGCAAAACACAAGGGAUAGGCAAAAUCUGUUUGAAGAUGCAUGAUGGAACAGUCAGAGAAUUAAGUGAUGUUCGGUAUGUACCGGAUAUGAAGAAAAAUCUCAUCUCACUGGGUGCAUUGGAAUCCAAGGGUCUCAAGAUCACCAUGGAGGGUGGAGUUCUUAAAGCUGUGUACGGGGCACUGGUGGUGAUGAAAGGUACAAGACGAAAUAACUUGUAUUUCUUGCAGGGGAGUACAGUUAUUGGUGGAGCAGCUGUCACCGAAGCUGCUGACGCAGAUAGCACAGACACCACGAGGUUAUGGCAUAUGCGUCUUGGGCAUGCUGGUGAAAAAGCGUUGCAAGGAUUGGUGAAGCAAGGCUUAUUGAAAGGUGCAAAGGCAUGCAAAUUGGAAUUCUGUGAGCAUUGUGUGUUGGGUAAGCAAACUAGAGUAAAAUUUGGCACUGCUAUUCACCACACUAAGGGCAUUCUUGAUUAUGUUCACACUGAUGUUUGGGGACCUUCCAAGAAUGCAUAUUGGGGAGGUAGCCAUUAUUUUGUCUCCUUUGUUGAUGACUUCUCUAGAAGAAUAUGGGUGUACACCAUGAAGCGUAAAGAUGAAGUCUUGAAGAUAUUCCUGAAGUGGAAAAAGAUGAUUGAAACGCAAAGCGGUCGAAAGAUCAAGACUCUCAGAUCAGACAAUGGGGGUGAAUAUAAGUCUGAUCCUUUCUUGAAAGUUUGUCAAGAUGAGGGUAUUGUGAGGCACUUCACGGUUAGGGAGACACCGCAACAGAAUGGGGUGGCAGAGCGCAUGAACCGUACUUUGCUUGAGAAAGUUCGGUGUAUGUUGUCUAAUGCUGGAUUAGGCAAGGCGUUUUGGGCUGAGGCACUCACUUAUGCAAGCCAUCUCAUUAAUCGAUUGCCAGCUGCUGCGAACGAGGGCAAAACGCCCAUGGAGGUAUGGUCUGGUAAACCUUGUACUGAUUACAAGUUUUUACACAUAUUUGGUUGUCCUGCUUACUAUCAUGUCAGAGAAAGCAAGUUGGAUCCAAGAGCAAAGAAAGCUCUAUUUAUGGGCUUUAGCACUGGCGUGAAGGGAUACCGACUCUGGUGUCCAGAUGAGAAGAAAUUUGUUGUAAGCAGAGAUGUGACUUUUGAUGAGGCUGCUAUGGUUAAUCAGAACAAGCAUGAAGGUGAAACUAAAGCGACCGAGACCAUGAGUAGCUCAAAGCAGGUGGAGUUACUGAAGACUCCAGUUGUUCCAGUAAGGUCUGAUGUUUCAAACACUAGUCCUACAGUUAAUUCUGAUGAUGAGGACGAGGAUGAUGAAGAGGAGGCACCUACCCAAGAGCCUCCACAGCAACAAGACUAUAUUGCAACCAGAAGAUCGAGAAGGGAAAUCCGAAAGCCUGCUCGAUUUACUGAUAUUGUGGCAUAUGCACUUCCCGUUAUUGAAGAUGAUAUUCCAUCCGCCUACAAAGAAGCUGUCAUGAGUUCAGAGUGCGAGUUGUGGAAGAAAUCUAUGGAUGAGGAGAUGAAAUCUCUUCAUAAAAAUGAGACUUGGAAGCUGGUUCAGUUACCAAAGGGGAAGAAAGCAAUUGGUUGUAAAUGGGUGUAUGCCAAAAAGAUGGAAUCUUUGGGAAAAGACAAUGUAAGAUUCAAAGCCAGAUUGGUAGCUAAAGGCUACGCUCAGAAGGAAGGCAUUGACUACAAUGAGGUAUUUUCUCCUGUAGUAAAACAUUCUUCUAUUCGUAUUCUGUUGGCUUUGGUUGUGCAGUUUGACCUUGAGUUGGCCCAACUUGAUGUCAAGACUGCGUUCUUACAUGGUGAUUUGGAGGAAGAGAUUUAUAUGUCUCAGCCAGAAGGUUUUAAGGUUGCUGGAAAGGAAAAUUGGGUUUGCAAAUUGGAAAAAUCAUUGUAUGGCUUGAAGCAGUCUCCAAGACAAUGGUACAAGCGAUUUGAUAGAUUUAUGAUCGGGCAGAAGUACACAAGAAGUCACUAUGACCAUUGUGUAUACUUUCGCAAACUACAAGAUGGAACCUUCAUUUAUCUGCUUUUAUAUGUUGAUGAUAUGCUUAUAGCAUGUAAGAGCAAAGUGGAGAUUACAAGGUUGAAGACUCAACUAAGUAAUGAAUUUGAGAUGAAGGACUUGGGAGAAGCUCGGAAGAUACUAGGUAUGGAAAUUGAAAGAGAUAGAGCGAAGGGCAAGAUUAGUCUGUGUCAGAAGCAAUAUUUGAAGAAGGUACUACAACGUUUCAGGAUGAAUGAAAAUUCAAAACCGGUUAGUACACCUCUUGCCUCUCAUUUCAAACUUAGCGCUUCUAUGUCUCCUAAAACUGUUGAAGAGAGUCAGUACAUGGCUCAAAUUCCUUAUGCAAAUGUUGUUGGUAGUUUGAUGUAUGCUAUGAUGUGUACUAGACCUGAUAUUUCACAAGCUGUUAGCAUUGUCAGUAGAUAUAUGCAUAAUCCAGGAAAAGGGCAUUGGCAAGCUGUGAAAUGGAUUCUACGGUAUAUUCUGGGUACUGUGGAUGUUGGUUUAUUGUUCCAGCAGGAUAAAGUUACUGGUAAAUGUGUUGUUGGAUAUGUGGAUUCUGAUUACGCAGGUGAUUUGGACAAGCGUAGGUCCACUACUGGUUUUGUAUUCUCUAUUGCUGGAGGUCCAAUAAGUUGGAGGUCGAUUCUGCAAUCUACAGUUGCUUUGUCGACUACUGAGGCAGAAUACAUAGCUGUGACAGAAGCUAUAAAGGAAGCCAUCUGGCUUCAAGGGUUGCUUGAUGACUUAGGGGUUCAACAAGACCAUGUGGAUGUUCAUUGCGACAGUCAGAGUGCUAUUCAUUUAGCAAAGAAUCAAGUUCAUCAUGCACGUACGAAACACAUUGACGUGAGGUUCCAUUUUGUUCGUGAGAUUAUUGAUGAGGGAGAUAUUCUUCUUCAGAAGAUUGGGACCGCUAACAAUCCUGCAGAUAUGUUAACAAAGCCAGUUUCGUUGCACAAGUUUAAGCACUGCUUAGACUUGAUUGGCGUUUGUAAAAUUUGUUGAUUGCCCCAUGGGGGAUUGGGAGACGACUAUUAGGAGUUCUACUUAGAGGGUUUGAGUCAAGGUGGAGAUUGUUGAUUAUUGACUCAAACAUGUAGUCAAAGUCCAAAUCUUUGGGCUACUUUUGUGGUCAAAAUUGUUGGAUGGCAUGCUACAUGUGGGAAACCAAAAUUGGAUGCACUUAUGCCUAAUUCUUUUUGACUUGAUGUUAGGCCUUUGGCCAUUGAUGUCUUUGAGAAGCUUUUCUUUGGCUAUAAAAGGAGAGCAAGGUGCAACCCAUAAGCAUGGAGAAGUAGAGAAGAACAAGGAAGAGAGAAAAAUAGCAAGAAGCCAUUUGGCAUAGAGAAGAAUUUUCUCAAAUUGUCUUGUUUUGUAUUUUUUGGUUUUCUCUUCCUAUUGUAAGUGUGAGAGCUUGGGGUUAUUUGGGUCUUUGGGAAAUUGAGUGAUAAACACUAUUGUAUGUUCUCAUUGAUUAUAGUGGAAUACUCCGUCGUCUCCAAACUGGAUGUAGGCAUUGCCGAACCAGUAUAAAUCUUGGUGUUCUUGUUGGUGUUGUUUUUAUUCUGUUCUGUCUUACUAUUCACUUACAGUCGUAUGCCGCUUCCGCACAACAAAGGAGGUCAACAGUUCACUGUCAAAUUUACAGUAGUUGCUGAUUUUGGUGUCCGAUUUCAUCUUAGUGUUUACUUCAGGGAAGAAUUUUUUAAGAAACGGCUCCAUUGAUGUCACGCCGCCUGAAAUUCCAAUGUCGUAGCCGAAAAUUACACCUCCUAUGGCUGCCAUCAUGCAAGAGAGGAUGACAAACGGCGUCAUCUUGCCAUUGUAUUGCCCGGCUUCGCCUGCUAUUGCUAACUCAACUGCCAUUGCUUCUUCCAAGCUCACACACAAAUAGAUAUGAAGAGAGAACUCAGAGUUGUGAUUUGUACUAAGAGAAUGGAAAUAUAGUGAGAAGUCUUGCUCCAUUUUCUGACAAAUACGAUAUUUUAAACUACUGUAAUCUACGGAUAACGAAUUCUUCCUAACCACGUCUCCAAGAGUGGUCUUACUUGACUGGUGUAUUUCAACAAAUGGUUUUGGACUUGUACGGAAUAUGUAGGCAGUGGUUGCAAUCACUACCACUACUAGAUAACUUCAGGCAGGACCAUAAGCAUUUGUCUGAACUCUGAAGAAAGUUAAGGGUCUAUUUGGCCACUCUUCAGCUGCCAUUGCCUGGUUUAACAAACCCUUUCGUACUUAAUCACUCUUUUUUUGCUGCUUUAAUAUCUGCUUUGCCGUUAAUCGCGAGCACUUAAACUUGUCGACCGCUGCCACCCGUUGGUACCCUGCCGGAGCUACUUGGUAUGGUAGUCCGGAUGCCGCCGGAAGUGGCGGUGUAAUGCAUGAUUAAUGUAUACAUGUUUUGUAAUUUUUGGUUUACAGAUAAUACAGUAUAGUUACUUAAUUAUUAAUAUUAAUAGCAUAUGCUAAACUAAUACAUUAUUGUCAUAUUAUUCAAAGUGAUUUCAAAACUACUUUCAUUUACGGUAAGAGAGGCUCGGAGCUAAUACAAAGAACAAAAAUAAACAGCGAAUGUGCAGAAGGAGAAAAAAAAAUGUGUGCUGAAAUCGUUUCCCAAAUUAUUCUAAAGUGAAUGGCAUGAAAGCAAAAAGAUAGAGAGAGACUACCAGAAACAAUAGAGAGUGUGCCAGUCGGGCACCUUGGCAUGCUUCCCACGUCACUCUAGUUACAUCGGCACCCUAGCAUGAACUCCACAUAUUAGAAUUCGAGGGCUCACUUGAGAAAAACUGUGUCCAUCCUCACGUGAUGAGAGAGACAUAUGUUACGUGAUACAUACCCUGCUGUUUCACAGAAACAGUUUUGCCUUUCAGCAGAAAUGUGAAAAAUACAAUUGACUUUUUUGCUUGCUUAACAUGUCUGUCUGUCACUAAAGUUGGAGAUAACAUCAUUGCAUUUUGCAAACCAACUCAUAUUAAUCUGUUCACAAAGAACAACAGUUGAGGCAAAAAUUUUAGGGUAUAAGCACAGCCGAGCCGGAUGUUUUCCUGUUCUUAAGGUCUGCAUGAGCUUGUGCUGCGUGAGACAAUGGGUAUUUGUGAUUUACUCGAACGCGCAAUAUGCCUGAUUCAACAUUAGCAAAUACCUCUCCCGCAACCUCUACCAAUUUGUCUCGAGCUGCAGUGUACUGGAACAGGCCGGCCUGGUCAGGAAGAGUGACUUUGCUGCAAGAGCUGAUAGUGGGACCGGAUCAAUUGCACCUGAUGUUUGUCCGAAACUCACCAUGUAUCCACGAGUCUUCAAGCAUGCCAAUGAUCCCUGUAAACAAUGCCCCAAUUAAGUCCUAAUUCCAAAAUUCACCAUUAAGAAAUUAGACUAGAUAAUCUUCUGAACUGAAAAAAAUCAAAGGGUAACUAGCAUUUGCUUUAACAGUUUCAUAAAACUAGCUCGAACGGAACAGUAUAGAGAUUUGGUAUGCCUGGCCUAUCAUUGAGAAACUUCAACGCUAGAUUAGGUAAUAAGUCACAGAAAAGCAGAAGUAGUAACAAGCUGUGUUGAUACUCAAUGAAACCAAGAAUAUCAAAGGAACGGUGCAGAAGGAGAACCUAGAAUCAUUUCUGUAACUUUUGUAUAAAAUUGAGGGAUGGUAAGAUUUACCUGAAAGGUAUCCUUCCCUACAGAAUCAUAGACAACAUCAACCCCAUUGUCAGAUGUUAUUUCUGUCACUCGAGCAACAAAAUCCUCUUCGUGUAGACUAUGACAUGGUGACACCCAUCAUCCUUGGCCUGAGCUGUCUUCUCUUUAGUUGAUAGAGUUCCAAUGACAGUUGCACCAAGCGCAUUAGCCCACUGGCAUAAAAGGGAUCCAACUCCACCAGCUGCUGCGUGAACAAGGACCAUGUGUCCUGGUUUGACCUGUAUAAUUAACAGCACAAAAUUCAGCUCGAACAUUAAAAGCAGCAGCAUUCAAAUUUAUAAACAAUUUCUAACAUUGAAUCAACCGUGUUUAGAUAAUGAAAUUACAAGUUCAGGAAGCAUUUAGUUACAACUUGACCACCAAUAUUUGUCAGUUGAUUGUAUUUUUUUGACACAUUAAUCACAUAGUUAACAAUACAGAAAAUUGUACAAUAAAACAACCUUGAAAGACUGACGUAGUAGAACCUGAGCUGUCAUACCCUUAAGCAAUACGGAUGCUGCAACAAUAGGAUCAAUUGAAGGAGGAACGGGCACCACUUUGUUUUCAGGAAGGAUCUGCUCUUCCGCAUAUGACCCCAUCGGAGUGCCAACAUAGGCCACCAGAUCUCCAACUCGCCUGUCUGUUACCCCAGGUCCUACGGCUGUCCCAACUCCACAAGCUUCCAUACCUGAAAUGAAAAUUGAUUUGUAGUGACGUUGAGUUUCUCGACCAUUUCUCUUAAGGAUUAGUCAGUUCUAUUUCAAACAGCAGGAAUGGCUAAUCUGGUUUCAUGCCCGGCAUUCUUUUAGUUUUGCUAAAUCAUUCUUGAUCAUAUCUGAAAACUGUAAUCUCACGCGAAAUGUUUACUCAAGAAACUGUUAAGAAAAAACUAAACUUAGAAAUUAUGCCUUCAAAGAGUGGACUAGAUGUCAAUCCUUCCUACAUUUCGGAACUUGGAAAUGAAGCAAAACCUGGGGAGAAGGGCAUUGUAUCAGCCUUAUAAUAAAGUCCUUUGCAGAAGUAUAAGGGCAUUGUAUCAGCCUUAUAAUAAAGUCCUUUGCGGAAGUAUACAUCGAUGAAAUUAACCCCUAUCGCCUUGUUCUUCACACGAACCUCCCCCUCUUCCGGCUCUCCUAUUUCCACAUCUUCCCAUUUCAAGACCUAGCAGCAUUACAUCACAAAAUUAAGUGAAAUGGGGAUAAAAGCAUUGGAAAUUUGGAUAAUGACAUAUAGCUGAACCAGAUUGCAGAUGAAAGGAAAAUUACGAGCAAAGGAAACUUCUUUCAAGGAAAACAAACUGAAGUAAAACUCGAAAACAAACGGGUUUUGAAUAAUAUGUUUCAAAGGUUGUGUAUGAACACACUUGAUGUGGCUCGAGAUAAACUAUAAACACAAUAUAAACUUAAGUUUACAAACUCAAAUACUUCAAGGCCUCGCUCGAUGUCUAUGAUUGAAUUGGACUGAAAAAUCGCUAGAUUCAAUGUAUGUCAAAGAAAGAAAUUUGGAAGGCAGAAGAAGGAUUAAUCAUGAAGAACAUUCCAAUCGCCAAGGAAAUGGUAGGAUUGGAAGGGAUAAGCUUACUUCUUGACUACUCCUACUUCUACUUUCAACUUAUGGCUCGUCUGGAAAUAUUUUUAGAAUGACUGAAAGUGUUUUUGGUGAAACUGAUUUUGGAUUCCAAAAACACUUGGAAGAAGCAUCAAAUAUGUGUUUCUUGCAGGAAGCAGUUCAAGUGUUUUCACAAAAUAUUUUCACAAAAAACACUUUCUGUUAUUUAAAAGUACUUCCAAACGGCCAAAGACAAAAUUUAGAAGUUGACUUCCAUUUCUUCCUUCGACAUUGAAUCAUAGUGAGUUAUUGAAUCUAGUCAAAUCCUUGACACCAAACAAGAACUAUCCUUCUCCGGAUUAGUCCGAUGAAUACAAUGGCAUAAGAAAUCAUGUACUCUUGGCUAAAAGCAGAAAGGCUAUCACUUUCAGCCUGUUACCAGAUUUUCCAUCAAACAACUUGGAUUUAUUGUAAACAUAAAUAGUUUACAAAUGAAAUCAGGCACUUAAUAUUGCAACCGACAAACAAGUCUUGAUUUUGUGAUCACAAAUUCAAACAUUCAAGUUACCCAAAAAAAUACAGGAGAGAGAGAGACCUGAGGACCACCAAGUUCAUGAACUCUAAUGGCUUUCACCAUCUUUGUUGGCGAUACUGCUUGAUUCUGGGUACGGACUAUUUUCCGGUCAAAAGUGUGAUUUCUUGGUAAUUAUCCCUUAAUAAUUAGCCUAACCCGUGUUAAUAUUAUAAUGUUGGACCUACAUCUUUUUUUAGUCUAUGUCUCAUACACGCACCAGAAAUCAUAAAGAGUUGUGAUAUUUCCACUCUGAUAUCUUAUUUUCUUACCUAUCAUUUAAUGAAAAUGUUAAUAACAUAUUUAUCCUUUUAAAAGAAGACUCUUAAACCUUUAUUUAAUUCAGUACUAAAAUCUUGAAAAAGCAAAAAAUAAUUUAAAAUAAUAAAUAAAUAAUGGUGGGUGGGGUGUGAUAUCUUUGGUGGAAAGAGGUUGUGAAAGAUUUGGGUUAGAAUUGACGGGAAUGUUGGAGGAAUGAAUGGGCAUGUGCUAGACGAAUGCGAGAAACUUCAAUGGAGAAAAAAGAGAAUUGAGUGUGAGAUCUGCUGUUUUGACAAAAAAGGAGGAAGAAAAGUGGUUUGGGUGUCGGGAUCUCUGCAGGACGACGAUAAGUGUGAAGGAGAUGAUGAAUGCCUAGGUCUUGCAUCUUCUUUUAUUUUUUUUAUUUUUUUAUUUAUUUAUUUAUAAUAUUAUUUAAAGAUAUAUUAGGGUUAUUUAAAAAAAUAUAUUAUGGUUAUUUUGAGAAUAAUGGUGGGCGGGAAAAUAACAUUUUACUUUUUUAAAUUUUUAUAGUGGGUGAGAUUAUUAUGUGGGUAGAAAAAUAGGACACGGGUCUUGUAGCACUCUUCAUAAAUUGUUUUUUUUUUUUUUUGUGAAAAAAAUCAUAAAAUGUUAAGUCUAUACUACUUAUAAAUGAACAGUGUUUGAACCCGAAUUUUACUCUAUUUACGACCAUGCCACUGCUUUUCAGAGUGGCCUAUAUGUUUGGGUCCUAAUUUCAGUUUAAUUACGGUCAUGCCACUGCUUUUCAGAGUGGGCUUUGUGGGUUUGCAUUCAGUGUGGGAUUUGGUAAGGGAAAGGCAUGCGGCUUACAGAGAGGAGGAGAGAUAGAGGGGGAAGGAGAGAGAGAGAGAGAGGGAUUCGGUGAAGGGAAGGCAUACGGCUUACAGAGAGGAGGAUAGAUAGAGGGGGAAGGGGAGAGAGAGAGAGAGAGAGAGAGAGAGAGGGAUUCGGUGAAGGGAAGGCAUGCGGCUUGCAGAGAGGAGGGAGGGAGGGACGAGAAGACGAAAAACAACUGCAGCAAGUUCAUGGACAGGGAGAGAGAAAGCGUUCUGCAGCCCGCUAGCAGUUUUCGUUCAGAUCCAGGUUUGUUUUUUUCCCCUUAAAAUUUAGAUUUUUUUCGCCAUUUUAUGUUUCGUUCAAAUCCGGGUCCGUUUGGUUGCCGAGAAAUUCACUUGAAAAUUUUCUUUUCGUUGGGUUUUAAUUUGUUAUUUGGGGUCGCGUCUGGGAUGAAUUACUUGCCGGCAUUUGAAUUCGGCUUCUGGGAUUGCGAAAUUCUUCGAUUCGAAGUAUUGCUUGUCGGCAUUUCAUAGACCACAUUAUGCAUUAUGUUAGUGAAUCGUGCUGAGAACAUGUCAAUCAUAUUUAGGUUCUGUGCAAGGAAAGGGACAUAUGAAUCCUGCUCUUGAUGAUUCAAUAUGCCAUCAAACAUUACUUAGGCUUCUAAUUUCAUACAGAAAUCGAAAACCCAUUUGGUGAGCCCUUGAGUCAGGGGCUACGCUAGAACAUUUGGAAUGAGAGUGGUCAAAGCGAAUCACGUUUUUGUAUUAUUUUCGAGUUGAAAAAUUAGGUUUUUCUUCAUAAGAAGUUCAAAUUACACUCUAUUGGGUCUGAGACAUGGAAACUCAAUAUCUUUGUGAUAUUACAUUAACAUAGUUAAACUAUAUUUUCUUUUGAUGGGCAUGUCUAAAUUUCUGUAUUUGCGCUGUAGGGAUGUCUUAUCGGGUGAAGUGUUCAAAAUCCUUCUGCUAACUGAUUUAAUAGGUUGAAUUUGUAUCCAAUGUUUUCUUCCAAUAUGGUCUGAACUAUUUUGUUUAAUUAACGAAAACAGGUCACUUCUCUCUAUGGUGGUCCCUUAGAGUUUAUGUUUAUUGUGCAAAGCACAGAAGACCCUGCUUAUCGAGCUGUAUCUAUGCUACUAUCAGAGCUUAAGGUAUACGCAACAAUAAUCAUGGUUUCUUUAAUAUAAGAACAUCCAGGACAAGUCAUAUAUAAUAUAUGCUUGAAAGCACAAGUUUAAUGUAUAACAUUUUUUAGGUUACAUGUGUUCCGAGAAUGAUCUGUUUUACGUUUAACUUCAUUUCCUUGCAGGACGAGGUUGAUGCUAAGAUUGUUGUGGCUGGUAUUUCAACAACCUGUAGUCAGAAAAUUCACAACCAAUUGGUAUGUACCUGAUUAAAAUAAUUUACGCUUUGCUACCAUGCUGGUGCAAUAGCAAGGUCUUGCACAGUUUAAGUGUUAUCUUAUCAAAUCAUUAUGUACCUAUAAUUGUUCUAUAUGACGAGUUUCUUUUCUUUAUGGAAUAGAGAAAUAUAAAUUUAUUACUAAGUCUUAAUGGUGUAGGGUAUAUGUAAAUGAAUUCAAUUAGAACUCACAGUUUUGUUUUCUGUUUUGUAGCUGCCUUGAUCAUUAGUUGGUGAUAUUUGGGAGAUUGGGUCAUCUGGUUGUUUGGAUUUAAGUGGGAUUGAGGUUAUUUUUGCCGCUUUUUGUGAUUUGGGUCUGGGUUCUGGUCAAGUUAUUGCUAUUGAUUCUGGGUCAUCUUCUUCAAAGUUAUUGCUAUAUAUUCCUUCUUCUUUUGGACCCAACAAUCUGUGGGUUUGAUUGCAGCAUAGUGAUUUAGUUUAAAUUUCAACAUUGAUUAUAUAUAUAUAUAGAUAAUCCUAAACACUUCAAAUAAAUCUCAAAUUGAAAAGAACACUUCAAUCUGACUAAAAUUACACAAAGGAAAAAACAAAGACAGAAAGUUGGGCGGUGAAACAUCAACACUAAUUUUAUAGGACGGCAAUAAGGCCGGCGAUGCUGUAUGGCACAGAAUGUUGGGCGGUGAAACAUCAACACGUACACAAAAUGGGUGUAGCGGAGAUGAGGAUGCUUCGUUGGAUGUGUGGGCACACGAGAAAGGAUAAGAUUAGGAAUGAGGAUAUCCGGGGUAAAGUAGGAGUAGCCAAAAUUGAAGGAAAGAUGAGAGAAAAUCGGUUACGGUGGUUUGGACAUGUGCAAAGAAGGCCUACUGACGCUCCGAUUAGAAGAUGCGACUAUGGGACAGAGGUUCAGGGCCGAAGGGGUAGAGGAAGACCUAGGAAAACUUUGGAAGAGACUCUAAGAAAAGACUUAGAGUACUUGGAUCUAACGAAGGACAUGACACAGGAUCGAGCACAAUGGCGUUCUAAGAUUCAUAUAGCCGAUCCCACUCAGUGACUUGGAUUUUCCAAGUCUCCAACCGAGAAGAAGUUUUCCUCACUCGGGAAAUUAAGGGAACACUACCCCAACCUACAUGCUCCACUCAGAAAGCUUCAACAUACAAGCUUCAACAAAAGAAAAUUCAAAGAACUUAGCGAAGAAGGCUUUGGUGUAUUUAACACAAUACGUUGAAAUGAAGGAAAACUUAUUUAUUGAUAUCCCCGAUAAGCUACAAAUAUGUACAUAUGCAUGAGUCAAAAUAAACACACAAGAGGGAGCCUUCACAAAGGUUGCUUAGGAGAAGUCUCAGCAGUCGGUAGAGCCCCAGAAAGAGAAGGCACCGGAGGGGGAUCAUUUGGAGCCUCAGUACUGGACAGAACCCUAGAAGGAGGAGGCAUCAGAGGUUGAUCAUUCGGAGCUUCAUUAUGCGGUACAGCCCCAGAAGACGAAGGCAAUAAAUGCCUUUGGAACAAACCCACAAAUCUCUGAUGAUCAAGUAAAACCUGACCAUCAGUUUCCUUCAUCUGGUCAAGCUUCCUCUUCAUGUUUGUAGCAUAGUCAUGUGCGAGCCGGUGCAACUGUUUUAUUCUCAUGCUUGAGCCCCCUAAUCUCCUGUUUGAGACUCAUCACUUCAGCCGCCAAUGACUUCAACUUGGCGGGUUCGAGCAAAUAGGCGUUGGGCCAUAUUAGACACAGAACCUGCACACUGAACACUGAGAGCCAGCGAAUCCUUAACAGCUAACUCAUCAGACCGUUUGGAAAGUAGUCUGUUAUCUUUGGGAGUGAGAAGGUUCCUGGCCACCACCGCAGCGGUCAUAUCAUUCUUCAUCACGGAAUCCCCAACGGUAAGAGGACCAGUAAGGGGAGACGAAGGAUGGGCGCCAUAUGUUGUCUGGAGAAGGCGGGGCUGCCUCUUCAACAAGGUUCAAGUCAAAAACGACGGUCAGGAGGGGCCAGACAUUUUCAAAGGUGUUGAAGAGAGAAAAGGUCGGACAAAUCAAGAUCUUAGAAGUGCAAGAAUGAAGCUUCUACUGGUGGAGAUUCAAGUGUGCUUUGGAACUUAAUGCCAACCCCUAUAAAAAUCUGCACUCGACGGAGCUUCAGAAAUCGAAGAGGCGCCUGCUCAGAAAUCGAAGAGGCGUUUGCUUUCUCAAAAGUUGGGCUGCUUAGAGAUCACGAGGGUUGAUCUCAGAAAUCGAAGAGGCGUUUGCUUUCUCAAAAGUUGGGCUGCUCAAAGACCACGAAGGCCGAUCUCAGAAAUCGAAGAGGUGCUCGCUUUCUCAAAAGCUGGGCUCCCAGAGACCACGAGGGCCGAUCUCAGAAAUCGAAGAGGCACCUACUUUUUCCAGCCUUGUCAGCACCUGUCACACGCACACUCAGCUUUGCGGAAAUUAUGGGCAUUCUGUCAAAGACUUCUGGGGGAAGUAGAAAACACAUGAAUCUUACUGUUCAAUCACCCACUUCCCACACGCAACAAUAGCUCACGGGUACCACAGAUAACUUUGCCAAAGUUCUCUGCCAAAGUUGAGCACGUGAAGCUUGCAGCUCCCACUACAUCGCUCUGACCAAGAAGGGUAAAAGAAUAGCAAAGAAACAACACUAACAAAGUUUAGACCCAUAAAUUUUGAAGGUCUAGCUACCAUAUACAUAUUAUUACCCACAAGGGUAAAGGAACAGUACCACUGCUGGAUAAUUGGAAAGUCCCUGUGUGUCAACCUCUGUGCUUCGUGGCAAGGUAGACUAGCAAACAUGCCCAACCUUUACUCACAUUCGAGAAAACACUCCCAAUAAGAUUGCUUGCUCCAAAAUCGAAGAGGCAUCGUCCUCCAAAUCUCGAGAGCCAGACUCCCAACAUGACUACUUUCUUAAAAAUCGAAGAGAGGGUAAAGGAACAGUACCAUUGCUGGAUAAUUGGAAAGUCCCUGUGUGUCAACCUCUGUGCUUCGUGGCAAGGUAGACUAGCAAACAUGCCCAACCUUUACUCACAUUCGAGAAAACACUCCCAACAAGAUUGCUUGCUCCAAAAUCGAAGAGGCACCGCCCUCCGAAUCUCGAGAGCCAGACUCCCAACAUGAUUACUUUCUCAAAAAUCGAAGAGACACUGCUUCCCGAAUCUUCGAGAGCCAGACCCCCAGCAUGAUUGCUUUCUCAAAAAUCGAUGAGGCAUCGUUCUCCGAAUCAAUCGAAGAGGCGCUCGCUUUCUCAAAAGCUGGGCUGCUCAGAGACCACGAGGGCCGAUCUCAGAAAUCGAAGAGGCACCUACUUUUCUAGCCUUGUCAGCACCUGUCACACGCAACAAUAGCUCAUGGGUACCACAGAUAACUUUGCCAAAGUUCUCUGCCAAAGUUGAGCACGUGAAGCUUGCAGCUCCCACUACAUCGCUCUGACCAAGAAAGGUAAAAGAAUAGCAAAGAAACAGCACUAACAAAGUUUAGACACAUAAAUUUUGAAGGUCUAGCUACCAUAUUAUUACCCAUAAGGGUAAAGGAACAGUACCACUGCUGGAUAAUUGGAAAGUCCCUGUGUGUCAACCUCUGUGCUUCGUGGCAAGGUAGACUAGCAAACGUGCCCAACCUUUACUCACAUUCGAGAAAACACUCCCAAUAAGAUUGCUUGCUCCAAAAUCGAAGAGGCACCGUCCUCCGAAUCUCGAGAGCCAGACUCCCAACAUGACUACUUUCUCAAAAGCGAAGAGAGGGUAAAGGAACAGUACCAUUGCUGGAUAAUUGGAAAGUCCCUGUGUGUGUGUCAACCUUUGUGCUUCGUGGCAAGGUAGACUAGCAAACAUGCCCAACCUUUACUCACAUUCGAGACAACACUCCCAACAGGAUUGCUUGCUCCAAAAUCGAAGAGGCACCGCCCUCCGAAUCUCAAGAGCCAGACUCCUAACAUGAUUACUUCCUCAAAAAUCGAAGAGACACUGCUCUCCGAAUUUCGAGAGCCAGACCCCCAGCAUGAUUGCUUUCUCAAAAAUCGAAGAGGCAUCGUUUUCCGAAUCUCGAGAGCCAGAUACCACAGACCACUUUUUCAAAGUGCUCUGACAGAGUUAAAACAUGUGAAACUGGCAGCUCCCACUACCGUGCUAUGACCAAGCAGGGUAAAGGAAUAGCAUUACUACUUGUUGUUAGGGAGACUCCUAUAUAUGUCGACCUCCAUCCUCAACGGACAGGCAGACCUGCAAAAAUGCUCAACCCUUCAUCAUAUCUAAGAGGGCACUCCCAACGAAGCCUUUCGAAAUAUUCAGCUUUCUUUCCCCCCGAUAAUACCUCUGCAAACAAGCUAUACUAGAGCAAGAAUAUCUCAUAUCAUCAGGGUUAAAAGCAAGAGUAUCCCAUAUCAUGCUUUUUCCCUGUCUUUUCCUUUGGCCUUGUUUUUACCUGCAAGACAAGGAGAAAGAGAGCAAUCAGUCAGCACUUGGAAUCAAGCUUCCAGCCAGGAACUGACUGCCUGGAACCCCUUACCUGAUUACUUACCUGGCAUUGCUCUCGAGAGUACUCAUCUUCAACAUGUUAUGUUUCCAGGGAAGAUUACGCAUCUGCUUGAGGAACAGAUAGGGCAAGUGCGAAGGAUACAAGGAAGCAUGUGGAGACAAGCGUAACAGCACACGUGCCGAUACAUCCAUUACUCUGUCAAAAGCAAAAGUAUCCCAUAUCAGCAGGGUGGAACGUACUCUAGAUUUGAUGGACUUGUUUUGACCCUCAAAUUCUUCAGUCGGCCUUAUACUCUGGAGGAAACCAGAAAACCCUCCAGCUCAGUUCAAGAAUAAGCCUGUGGAAAGUUACUUCUUCAAAAGCAAAAGUAUCUCAUAUCAUCUCUUCUCAUUUUUCUUCUCUUUAUCCUUCAUGCUGCUGCAAGAUGGGGAGAAGGUGAACAAUCAGUCGGAGCUCUGAUUGCUUACCUUGUCUGUCACCUCUUUCAGCAGACCCCCUAGCUCGGCGACUUGGGGGACUCCUACUACAUGGUUUGUAUCGCGCUUGACCAAGCCUGAAACUACAAGUAAGCUUCAAGUGAAAUUGAUACAUUACCUUGUGCAUCUCUACCAGUUAAAGAUACCACCCCUGGAUGGAGGAAGAGUACUUCCAGAGAAGAUGCCACAUCUACCUAUGAGACAGAUAAGGCAAGUUAAGACGACACCACACUCCGAUACUUAGAAGUUUCGUGAUUACGAGAUCAUUCUCCCACAAUAUUUCCUAAUGUCAUUUGUACUAAAUCAUUCACUUGUACUCACUAAAGGAGAGCUUGAACCUAUGUACUUGUGUAAACCCUUCACAAUUAAUGAGAACUCUUCUAUUCCGUGGACGUAGCCAAUCUGGGUGAACCACGUACAUCUUGUGUUUGCUUUCCUAUCUCUAUCCAUUUAUAUACUUAUCCACACUAAUGACCGGAGCAAUCUAGCGAAGAUCACAAAAAGCGACCGUUUUCGCUACCUAGGAUCUAUCUUGCAAGAGAACGGAGAAUUAGAUGGAGAUCUCAACCAUAGAAUACGAGCUGGAUGGAUGAAGUGUAAGAGUGCAUCCGGCGUGUUGUGUGACCGUCGUAGGCCACUGAAGCUCAAGAGAAAAUUUUAUAGGACGACAAUAAGGCCAGCGAUGUUUUAUGGCACAUAAUGUUGGGCGGUGAAGCAUCAACACGUACACAAAAUAGGUGUAGCGGAGAUGAGGAUGCUUCGUGGGAUGUGUGGGCACACGAUAAAGGAUAAGAUUGGGAAUGAGGAUAUCCGAGGUAAAGUAGGAGUAGCCGAAAUUGUAGGAAAGAUGAGAGAAAAUCGGCUCCGGUGAUUUGGACAUGUGCAAAGAAGGCCGACUGACGCUCUGGUUCGAAGAUGUGACUACGGGACAGAGGUUCAGGGCCGAAGGGGUAGAGGAAGACCUAGGAAAACUUUGGAAGAGACUCUAAGAAAAGAUUUAGAGUACUUGGAUCUAACGGAGGACAUGACACAAAACCGAGCGCAAUGGCGUUCUAGGAUUCAUAUAGCCGACCCCACUUAGUGGGAAAAGGCUUUGUUGUUGUUGUUGUUGUUGUUGUUGUUUAGGAUUAUCUACAUAUAUAUAAUCAAUGUUGAAAUUUUAAACUAAAUCACUAUGCUGCAAUCAAACCCACAGAUUGUUAGGUCCAAAAGAAGAAGAAGAAGAAGGAGUGAACAACAUGAAAUUGGCUUUGGGUAAGCUUCCACUCUCUUCUGUGUAUGAUCUCUUUGAGAAGUGAUUUUGGUUUGUGCUUUCAAAAAAGAUGAUGGCAAUUUCAUAUUUGGACAGAGAAAACAAUAGGCAUGUAUGAUGAAGUGGAAUUUUUCGUGGUAUUAUCAACAUGCAUGUUAUAAAGAAUUCUUCAUUUAGUUUUUUGGGUUGUGUGUUUUGUGCUGUUUCAUUCGUGACUUGUGUGUUUUGUUGUAUCUGAUUCAAGUAUACGUCAUUGAAGAAUGUUAAUGAAUCCAAACAUUGGUUUUGGGGUGUUCUUGCUAGAAAAGCCAAAGACAUUCUCGACGAUGAUGAUAAUGGAGUUCAGGAUUAUGAUUCACCCGAACAACAAGGACGGAUAUGCUGUCUUUGCCAACAAGGGGAUAAGGUGAGAUAUAGUUUUCGUCAUGUCUUUAUAGUAGCUUGGCAUUUUCCAAGGACUUUUAAUUGCUGCUGCAUUGUUGAAUACAUUAAGAAUGAUCCUGUAAACCAGAGAGGGAGUCAUCAGCUUAUGGAUCUGUUAACACAUCCAAUGUGUUGUAAUCUUUUCGCUACUUAAACAUGUUAAGACAUGAAUUCUAAUAAAAACUUUGGUCUGCUACUUUACUUAUGGUGCUGUUGGUUUACUCCAACGAUAAUACCUAGCUAGGAUAGCCUUUUCUUUAUGUCUUAAUUAUUGAUAGUGCUAUCAUCAUGGCAGGCUAUGUUGGGGCAAAAACUGUACAGGCAAAGACAUAAGAGUGAUGGAUUUUGGAAUGAAAUGCAGAGGAUAUCAUUUUGUGCUGCUUAAGUAAAAGUUUCCUCUUCUGUUAUAUUUGUGUGUUGGAUAUUGUAGAAAAUUAAUAUAAUUAAUAUAAGUUGUAUAUUCAUGAUAACUGACUGAUUAAGAUUACUUACAAGGGGUAUAUAUGCACAGGAGAGCUCAGCAUGAGGGUGCUGUUGGUUUACCUUGCCUGGAUGUGUUGCAGUGCAGGGUUGUUCAAGAAAAAAGGUUUUAAAGGAUCCUUUGCAGAUGCAAGAUCUUCUGCUAAAUGAUAACAUUGCAAUCCGAGUGUAAUUAGUUUAGUUUUUUCUAGUUUUUUUUUUGUGAAAUGUUAUUUACAAUGUCAGAAUGUUUCUUGGAAUUCAGUUGUCAAGGUUUCUUUUUAUAUUUUCCCCUUUUUAGACAUUUGCAGUUUUGUCCGGAGUGUGUGAGCUGUUGCUUCAGCCAAAACAGGUGCUCUCUCCAGUUUUUCAUUUCUUCCAUACUCAAACCCUAGCCGCUCCACCUGAAUCUCCCACACAUAAGCAAACUCCAUCUGAAAGCCGAAGAAUCCAAAGGUAAAUCCCUUCGAACUCUUUGAUUAUCAACCAGAUUUCAGAAUGUUUUUGGGAUAUACACUGCUAUUUCAUAUAGUGUUAGUUCAAUAGUUUAGUCCUAAGACCUAGCUCAUGAGACAUCAGAAUUUCGAUUGAUUUAGCUUUUGUCCUAUGCCUUUUUUGUAGGCACAACAGGGAUUGUAGACUACACAAACUUAGAAGAUAUGAAGUGUGCGGUAAGUCCUUUUACUUUCUCACUCCAGAGUCCAUACAUUCAUAUUUUCUGUAACCUUCUAUGGAGCAUGGGUACUAGGUUGUUGAAUAUUGCUUUUUCAAUAUGUCGAUGUGUCUGAAGCGUCUAUAAGAAUCUCAAACUUCAUAAAUAAUUUCCAUGCAGAUCAAAAAGCUUGAUGGCUCUGAGUUCCGAAAUGCUUUUGACCGCCAAUCUGUUCGCGUAUGAAUCUUACAAGUUGAAAAUUUAUUUUCUCUCCUCCUGUAUUUUUGUUUAUCUUUUGCUCUGUUGGGUUUUUUUUUUUCCAACAACUCAAAGGGCCGAAAGGUAUUCUCUUUUCAUAUUCUUCUCUCCCAAUUUCUUUAGGGUUAAUUUCAAUUUUCUUAUGCUAUUUGCAUUGGUGCUUUUUAGAGUUUAACUAUUUGAUUUCACAGAUUCAUUUCAAACACAGUAAAUAGUUACAUUUUAAAUUCGUAUUUCAUAACUUGGUUGCUCGAUUCUAAUGUCGAUUCGUUACAACAGAAGUGAACAUUUUCUUUCAAUAAUUUAAUCUGAUGUAACUCUGUUUUUGUUCUCUCAUGUCUAGGUUGGUCAAGGACAUGGGGAUAAGAGCACUUUGGAAAUGGGUACGAAAGGAAAUAAACUUGCUGAACUGCAUUGGCAUCUAUUGUUCUGGUUUUUCUUUGACAAGUUAACUUGCUCUCUCUUUGCAGUACGGUGCACAAAUAUGGAAAAAGCACGACAGGGGAAAGCUGGGAUAUUGUUGUGGAUGAGGAGACCUAUUACGAGUGAGUCUGGACUUGGUUCUGGUUCUGUCUACAUAUAGUAUGUUGAAGCAGUCAAAAGGAUUUCAGGGGCUAUAAGGGAUGGCUGUAGAGGCCACCCGCUCGAUAUUGCCUUGUUCGGUUGUUCAUCCAGAUACAAAUUCUUGUUUAGCUCAGAAUGCACGGGCUACAUCAGCUACAUUUAGGAAAACAUUUCCGCUUUACUUUUCUUUGAUGUUUGUACCAUUCGUUGUUUUCAGCCUACAGAAGGUAAAUUCUUCAAACUCAGCCUUUUCUUCUCAUUUUUUACUAGGAUAAUGCUUCUUUAACAAUUAUUUUCUGAAAUGGUGCGUUUACCUAUUAGUUCUGCCGACCACGAUAUUGGAUUUAUUGCCAUGAAUGCACAUUUGCCUUCAGAAGGCAAUUCGAUCUAACUUUUUCACUUCCCUUGAGUUAAGAUCUAACUUUUUCACUCUAACGGAAUGUUCUGUGCAGACUGGGGGUUAUUACAUAGCAUUUUUACUCACUUCAAGAGAUCUGUUUUACUUUCCGAUCAGUUUGAGUGAAUAAAUUCCUUGUGAACUUGGAAAUCUCUCAAGUCUAAGUGUUUUGCACCUCGGUUGAUAUGAGUUUUGUAGAUACUAGAAGAGCAAAUGAUUGUUAAGAGUAGUGGAUUAAAUCAUUUACGUGUUUGAUAUGCCUAGCUAGCUACGAGGGUCUUCAGUCUUAGCUUCGACUUGUACGAAGGACCGUUCCCAGUUCCUGGUGGGGUUGUGAAUAUGACUGGUCUUAAAGUCCUUAUUAUCUUUGAGCAAGAAAAAUCAAAGCUUUAAUUAUUCUGCAUGACUUUUCAUGCAUUCACCAUCGUAUGGAAUAUAUCACAGUUUUUGGCCAAAUUUUCCACAUAAAAUUUAAUCCUCUCAACUUCCUAACAUUAUCAAACAUUCAAUGACAGUCGGACUGUCUCAUUCAAUGACAGUCUGAUCUGGAGAUAAAGUUGACAAGUAUUAUUAUACGGCAACUUGAUGAUGUUGCUGGUGAUGUAUCUGGAUUGGCCGUGAAAUGGUAUGGAAUUUGUUUAUGAUUUUGCCAAUUACACAAACUGAGUCGUUUUUGCUGUUAUCUGUUGGAGUUUUAUGAGUUGUGUCUGGUGUGCCUUGCCAUGAAUAGUGAAGGAUCAUUGACUCUCUACUUCUUAGCAGUAGCUGGAUAGUCUUUCAUAUACAAUUGGAUCAUGAUAAUGUUUUGAGGCAUUUCAAAUUAUUCCACAUGUAAAUAGUUUUGAAUUCAGAGUUUAGUCUUUCGAUUUCAAGCUGCCAUAUGAUCUUUGAAUAGUUCAAGCAUUUUUGUUGUCAUUCUAAUUCUCUGAAGGUAAAUAGAAAAAUUGUAUGUAAAUCGAACAAUGAUUCAUAAUCUUUUGCAUGUUGGUACUAUUGUUGAUCCAAAGCCACAAGAACUUUGUUGGUCUAAUCUUUUUUGCAUGUAAAUAGAAGUCUGAUCUUUUUUGUGUAUACAAGUAACAGUAUCAUUUAAACGCUUUUAAAUCCCGCAGCAUCGCAUGGGCAAUUUUUGCUAGUUAUAACCAAAUGUAUGAAAUUGAAAUGUCAUAGAAGUGUUGUACGAGGUUACAAUUUGAGAGAUUUUUCAUUGUGAUCGGAACACGGGAUGAUAUACCACGUGUCAUUAUAUAAAUGGUAGAAUAUGUGUUAAAAAAUAAAAUUUUCAUCACUUGUAUAAAAACACGUGGUGUACCACUCAUGUUUCGAUCACACUGAAAAAUUUGUCGUUACAAUUGUACCAAAAUUUAAAGAAGUAAAUUGUAUUUUACCCUUCUUACUUUCACUUGCUCAUUUACUUGUUCGACGCCCGGCUUAGGUGGGAGUAUUAUAUCCCAGUAAAAAUAUCACAUCCAUAAAAAAAAUUAAAUUUUUCAUCUAUAUUAAUACAAUGUAUUUGAAGGACCGACGAUUCCCAAUUCCAAGUGGGGUCUCCCUUGAUCUUUCUGGAAACUUUUUUAAUUCUUUGAUGCCGAGGUGGGUUUUCAGUCUUAAAAAUCUAGUUUCUCUUCGUCUCAGUGAUUGUUGGUUCCAAGGUCCAAUUCCUAGCAUUUCACAGAAUAUCACAUCUUUGAGGGAAAUUGAUUUGUCAGGCAAUUCUGUUAGUCUUGAUCCGAUUCCCAAAUGGCUGUUUAACCAAAAAGACCUUGCCUUGAGUCUAGAAUCUAAUAACCUCACAGGACAACUUCCUAGCAGUAUUCAGAAUAUGACUGGUCUUACAGCUCUUGAUCUCAGUUUCAACGACUUCAAUUCUACCAUACCUGAAUGGUUGUAUAGCUUGACCAAUCUCGAGUCCUUACUUCUUUCUUCCAGUGUCUUGCAUGGUGAAAUAUCGAGUUCCAUUGGAAACAUGACAUCCCUUGUCAAUCUUCACUUGGAUGGUAAUCAGUUGGAAGGGAAAAUCCCAAAUUCUUUGGGACAUCUUUGUAAGUUGAAAGUUCUUGAUCUGUCAGAGAACCAUUUCAUGGUUCGAAGACCAUCCGAAAUCUUUGAAAGUUUGUCCAGAUGUGGUCCAGAUGGAAUAAAGUCAUUGUCGUUGAGGUAUACUAAUAUAUCAGGUCACAUUCCAAUGUCACUAGGAAAUCUGUCAAGCUUAGAAAAAUUGGACAUAUCUUUAAAUCAGUUUAAUGGAACUUUCACAGAAGUUAUUGGUCAGCUCAAAAUGCUAACGGAUUUGGAUAUAUCUUAUAAUUCGUUAGAAGGUGUGGUGUCGGAAGUGUCUUUUAGCAACCUUACAAAGUUGAAGCAUUUCAUUGCAAAAGGAAACUCAUUUACUCUGAAAACUAGUCGAGAUUGGGUUCCUCCUUUUCAACUUGAAAUUUUGCAGCUGGAUUCCUGGCAUUUGGGGCCUGAAUGGCCAAUGUGGUUGCGGACACAAACGCAAUUAAAAGAACUAAGCUUGUCUGGUACAGGAAUUUCAAGUACUAUUCCAACUUGGUUUUGGAACUUAACUUUCCAAUUAGAUUAUCUGAAUCUCUCUCACAAUCAGUUGUAUGGGCAGAUUCAAAAUAUAUUUGGUGCUUAUGAUUCAACGGUUGAUCUUAGUUCUAACCAAUUCACUGGUGCAUUGCCUAUUGUUCCCACCUCAUUAUAUUGGCUAGAUCUUUCCAAUUCAUCAUUUUCUGGAUCUGUUUUCCACUUCUUCUGUGAUAGGCCGGAUGAACCAAAGCAACUUUAUAUUCUUCAUCUCGGGAACAAUUUGCUCACUGGAAAAGUACCCGAUUGUUGGAUGAGUUGGCAAUCCUUGAGAUUCCUAAAUUUAGAAAACAACAUCCUAACUGGGAAUGUCCCAAUGUCCAUGGGAUACUUAGUUUGGCUGGGAUCCCUGCACUUGCGCAAUAAUCACCUGUACGGAGAAUUGCCACAUUCCCUACAGAAUACCUCGUUGUCAGUUCUUGACCUUAGUGGAAAUGGGUUUUCCGGAAGCAUACCAAUAUGGAUAGGGAAAAGCCUUUCAGAGUUGCAUGUUCUUAUCCUUCGUUCAAAUAAGUUUGAAGGAGAUAUUCCUAAUGAAGUUUGUUAUUUGACAAGUCUCCAGAUAUUGGACCUUGCACAUAACAAACUCUCAGGAAUGAUACCGAGAUGCUUCCACAAUUUGAGCGCCUUGGCUGAUUUUCACAAAUAUUUUCUACAACUAGUUUUUGGGGUGUGGAAGAGGAUGGACUUACAGAGAAUGCAAUCUUGGUAACGAAAGGGAUAGAAAUGGAAUAUACCAAGAUUCUGGGAUUCGUAAAAGGCAUGGAUCUUUCAUGCAACUUUAUGUAUGGAGAGAUCCCUGAAGAACUUACCGGCCUCCUCGCAUUGCAGUCACUCAAUUUAUCGAAUAAUCACUUCACCGGAGGAAUUCCUUCAAAGAUUGGUAGUAUGGCACAGUUAGAAUCUCUCGAUUUUUCCAUGAACCAACUUGAUGGUGAAAUUCCUCCAAGCAUGACGAAAUUGACAUUUCUGAGUCACUUAAACUUGUCCUACAACAAUUUGACGGGACGAAUUCCGGAAAGCACUCAACUGCAGAGCCUUGAUCAGUCGAGCUUCGUCGGCAACGAACUAUGCGGAGCUCCACUCAACAAGAAUUGCAGCACGAAUGGGGUGAUACCGCCACCAACAGUUGAGCAAGACGGAGGAGGAGGAUACCGUUUACUCGAAGACGAGUGGUUCUACGUGAGCUUGGGAGUUGGAUUCUUCACGGGGUUUUGGAUUGUGCUUGGUUCUUUGCUGGUAAACAUGCCAUGGAGCAUUCUUCUUUCACAGUUGCUGAAUAGGAUAGUGCUUAAAAUGUAUCAUGUAAUUGUUGAAUAUGUUUAGCUUUGUUUUGUACUUUGCGUAAGUUUGUUGGCAUUUUCCUUGCUGCGACGAAUAUGCCAGUAUGGUUGUGUUGUAUGAUUUUGUUAAAUUUCGUCCUCUUGUUUUAUUGUAUUUUUCUUUCAUGUUUGGCUUUAGGGGGUUAGGUUUCAUGUCCCCCCCUCCCUUGUAUCAUUUUUGUUUUCGUUUCUAGAGGGGUAAGGUUUAUGUCCCCCCUUCUUACUCAAUGUUGUUUUUCUCUCUUUCUUGGCAUUACGAGGGGUAAGGUUUAUGUUCUCCCCUGACUAGAUGUAACUUAUUUUUUUCGUUAUCAAUAAAAUAUCCCUCGUACCAUCGAGGUUUUCUUAAGAAUAAAAAAUAGAAAAAAUUAUCUCAUAUAAAAUUAAAAGACUUGUUUUCUGACCAAGUAGUUCUUAAUUCAGCAAAAGUCAAUUGAAUGACAAGAGAAAUGUGUGAAAAUGGUUUAGGAAUUAGUUACCUAUUAAUUAAUUAUCAGCAAACUCACAUUAUUCACAUUAUUUCGUGGUUGUAUUUUUAAUGAUUUUUUAUUUACAAUUUUACACUUGGAUCUUUCUCAAAAAACUAAAACAACGCUUCUCUCGAGUUCGAAUCCCAAAACCAAAAUUCAACCAGUAUAUAUGUCCCAAGACGCAAAAGGACCAAUUGGCAAUUAAAUAAAAUGCUUUCGAAUAAGAUGACAGAAUAAAUGAACGAAUUUUCAGUGUGAUCGUCACACAAAGUGCUACACCACGUGUCGCUAUAUAAAUGGUGUGAUAUGUGUGUUAAAAAAUUAAUAACUUAAAAAAUAAAAUUUUCCUCUACUUACAUAAAAACAUGUGAUGUACCGUAUUGCCCCUCAAAAUUAAAAAUUUCUCCAUGAACUCAACCACCUACACAACCCCGGCCACUCCACCAAUGACUCUAAUUUACUCAGUUUUAAUUUGCUAAAGACUUAAUUUAUUUAUUUAUUAACGGGUAAUUAAAGAAAAUCUAGUUGUGAAGUGCUAGUAGUUUGUAUUGACCAGUAUCGACGGAUAAGAAGGGUAGUAUGGUCAAAAAGGUGGUGCUGAAGUAAGGCAGUUAGUAUAUUUGGAAGUUAGUUAGAAUUGGCGGUAAAAUUAGUUAGAGCUGUUAGUACUACUAGCUUAAGAGAUGGGGCAGUUAGUAUUCAUUCGAAAAAAAAUAUACAGAAACUCAUAACCUCUGCUCUCUCUGCAAUUCUCUUUCUUUCUCUCUAAGUUUUCUGCUUUUCUUCAAUUCUCUGUGCACUGUUAUCAUGGUAUCAGAGCCGGCCGAUCCUUGGUUUCAAUUCCGCUGUGCAAGUCUUCUUGAUUGAUUGAAGCUCGAUGGUAGCUACAAGGUCUCAGGGUUUCUGCUCAAAGAUUCAAGAUUUUCAUUCGUAUCAGGUUCUUUGUUUGUGAUUUCACAGUGCACACCAUCUGUUUGCGUUAUGUUCUAGUUGGAGAGUGUUGUUAUUUUUCUGAAAGAUUGAAGGCCCAUAACCAUUGUUAGAAAAUUGAAAGGCCGAUAGCCAUUGUUUGAGAGCAUAAGAGGCCGAUAGCCAUUGUUUGAUCAAGAUUUUUUGGUAUUCAUUCAGUUGUUUCAUUGAAAAAGGCCGAUAGCCAGUAGGGAAGAAUCUGUGAUAGUGUAUUUGGGGUUCAAGAACAAGUCUUGUUUGUCUGCAAUAUAAAUUUCUGGAUUAAUAUUCUCUGUAACCUUGUUCAAAUGGCGGAAUCUAUUGUUAAAAUUGAAGGGUUACUUGGUAUGCUUACAGUGAAACUUCAAGAUGAUAAUUUUCAUUAAUUGGUUUAAUUUUUGUUCAUUUUAAAUUACGCAUAGUAGUGUUGGAUUCACAAACUCUUUAAUUCUCCACUUUCAAUCGAAUAAACGAGUGUGGUAUGUAUUUCAAACAAACAAGAUUGAACAUCUAAUUAUUUCAGAUAAAAUGCACCAAACACUCAUCUUCUUCUGGCAAGCAAGAAAAACUAGUUUUGCCAUGCGGCAUGUUUGAAUUGCGCGACAUAAACCAAAUUUCCAAUCACAAAUUUGGUGAUAAAUAUAAUAAUUUCAAUAAGUGAAAAACUCAAAUAGGUUACAUAAUUUGAUUUUUUUUUUAAGGGGUUCAACAAAAGAAAAUUCAAAGAACUUAGCGAAGAAGGCUUUGGUGAUUUAACACAAUACGUUGAAAUGAAGGAAAGCUUAUUUAUUGAUAUCCCCGAUAAAUUACAAGUAUGUACAUAUACUUGAGUCAAAAUAAACAAACAAGAGGGAGCCUUCACAAAGGUUGCUUAGGAGAAGUCUCGGCAGUCGGUAGAGCCCCAGAAAGAGAAGGCACCGGAGGGGGAUCAUUCGGAGCCUCAGUAUUGGACAGAACCCUAGAAGGAGGAGGCAUCAGAGGUUGAUCAUUUGGAGCUUCAUUACGCGGUACAGCCCCAGAAGACGAAGGCAAUAAAUGCCUUUGGAACAAACCCACAAAUCUCUGAUGAUCAAGUAAAACCUGACCAUCAGAUUCCUUCAUCUGGUCAAGCUUCAUUUUCAUGUUUGUAGCAUAGUCAUGUGCGAGCCGGUGCAACUGUUUAUUCUCAUGCUUGAGCCCUCUAAUCUCCUGUUUGAGACUCAUCACUUCAGCCGCCAAUGAUUCAACUUGGCGGGUUCGAGCAAAUAGGCGUUGGGGCCAUAUUAGACACAGAACCUGCACACUGAACACUAAGAGCCAGAGAAUCCUUAACAGCCAACUCAUCAGACCGUUUUGGAAAGUAGUCUGUUAUCUUUUGGGAGUGAGAAGGUUCCUGGCCACUACCGCAGCGGCCAUAUCAUUCUUCAUCACGGAAUCCCCAACGGUAAGAGGACCAGUAGGGGAGACGAAGGAUGGGCGCCAUAUGUUGUCUGGAGAAGGCGGGGCUGCCUCUUCAACAAGGUUCAAGUCAAAACGACGGUCGGAGGGGCCAGACAUUUUCAAAGGUGUAGAAGAGAGAAGAGGUCGGACAAAUCAAGAUCUUAGAAGUGCAAGAAUGGAGCUUCUACUGGUGGAUAUUCAAGUGUGCUUUGGAACUUAAUGUCAGCCUCUAUAAAAAUCUGCACUCGACGAAGCUUCAGAAAUCGAAGAGGCGUUUGCUUUCUCAAAAGCUGGGCUGCUCAGAGACCACGAGGGUCGAUCUCAGAAAUCGAAGAGGCGUUUGCUUUCUCAAAAGCUGGGCUGCUCAAAGACCACGAAGGCCGAUCUCAGAAAUCGAAGAGGUUUGCUUUCUCAAAAGCUGGGCUGCUCAGAGACCACGAGGGCCGAUCUCAGAAAUCGAAGAGGUUUGCUUUCUCAAAAGCUGGGCUGCUCAGAGAGGGCCGAUCUCAGAAAUCGAAGAGGCACCUACUUUUCCAGCCUUGUCAGCACCUGUCACACGCACACUCAGCUUUGCGGAAAUUAUGGGCAUUCUGUCGAGAUUUCUGGCGAAGUAGAAAGCACAUGAAUCGUACUGUUCAAUCACCCACUUCCCACACGCAACAGUAGCUCAUGGGUACCACAUAUAACUUUGCCAAAGUUCUCUGACAAAGUCGAGACACGUGAAGCUUGCAACUCUCACUACAACGCUCUGACCAAGAAGGGUAAAAGAAUAGCAAAGAAACAACACUAACAAAGUUUAGACACAUAAAUUUUGAAGGCCUAGCUACCAUAUUAUUACCCACAAGGGUAAAGGAACAGUACCACUGCUGGAUAAUUGGAAAGUCCCGGUGUGUCAACCUCUGUGCUUCAUGGCAAGGUAGACUAGCAAACAUGCCCAACCUUUACUCACAUUCGAGAAAACACUCCCAACAAGAUUGCUUGCCCCAAAAUCGAAGAGGCAUCGCCCUCCGAAUCUCGAGAGCCAGACUCCCAACAUGAUUACUUUCUCAAAAAUCGAAGAGAGGGUAAAGGAACAGUACCACUGCUGGAUAAUUUGAAAGUCCCUGUGUGUCAACCUCUGUGCUUCGUGGCAAGGUAGACUAGCAAACAUGCCCAACCUUUACUCACAUUCGAGAAAACUCCCCAAACAAGAUUGCUUGCUCCAAAAUCGAAGAGGCACCGCCCUCCGAAUCUCGAGAGCCAGACUUCUAACAUGAUUACUUUCUUAAAAAUCGAAGAGAGGGUAAAGGAACAGUACCACUGCUGGAUAAUUGGAAAGUCCCUGUGUGUCAACCUCUGUGCUUCGUGGCAAGGUAGACUAGCAAACAUGCCCAACCUUUACUCAUAUUCGAGAAAACACUCCCAACAAGAUUGCUUGCUCCAAAAUCGAAGAGGCACCGCCCUCCGAAUCUCGAGAGCCAGACUCCCAACAUGAUUACUUUCUCAAAAAUCGAAGACACCGUUCUCCGAAUUUCGAGAGCCAGACCCCCAGCAUGAUUGCUUUCUCAAAAAUCGAAGAGGCAUCGUUCUCCGAAUCUCGAGAGCCAGAUCCCCGACAGGAUUGCUUGUUCGAUUACCGAAGAGGCACCACUUUCCCAACUUCAAGAGCCGGAUCUCCUUGGAUAAAGCUUGUCUGUAAUCUUCACACGCAACAUCAGCUUUCCAGAUACCACAGACCACUUUUUCAAAGUGCUCUGACAGAGUUAAAACUUGUGAAGCUGGCAGCUCCCUCACGUGUACCGUGCUGACCAAGGGUAAAGGAAUAGCAUAGCAUUACUUGAUGAUUAGGGAGACUCCUAUAUAUGUCGACCUCCAUCCCCAACGGACAGGCAGACCUGCAAAAAUGCUCAACCCUUCCUCUUAUCUAAGAGGGCACUCCCAACGAAGCCUUUCGAAAUAUUCAGCUUUCUUUCCCCCCGAUAAUACCUCUGUAAACAAGCUAUAUUACUAGAGCAAGAAUAUCUCAUAUCAUCAGGGUUAAAAAGCAAGAGUAUCCCAUAUCAUGCUUUUUCCCUGUCUUUUCCUUUGGCCUUGUUCUUACCUGCUGCAAGACAAGGAGAAAGAGAGCAAUCAGUCAGCACUUGGAAUCAAGCUUCCAGCCAGGAACUGACUGCCUGGAACCCCUUACCCUGGCAUUGCUCUCGAGUACUCAUCUUCAACAUCUUAUGCUUCCAGGGAAGAUACCGCAUCUGCCUGAGGAACAGAUAGGGCAACUGAGAAGGAUACAAGGAAGCAUGUGGAGACAAGCGUAACAGCACACGUGCCGAUACAUCCACUACUCUGUCAAAAGCAAAAAGUAUCCCAUAUCAGCAGGGUCGAACGUACUCUAGAUUUGAUGGACUUGUUUUGACCCUCAAAUUCUUCAGUCGGCCUUAUACUUUGGAGGAAACCAGAAAACCCUCCAGCCCAGUUCAAGAAUAAGCCUGUGGAAAGUUACUUCUUCAAAAAGCAAAAGUAUCCCCAUAUCAUCUCUUCUCAUUUUUCUUCUCUUUAUCCUUCAUGCUGCCUGCAAGAUAGGGAGAAUGUGAACAAUCAGCCGGAGCUCUGAUUGCUUUACCUUGUCUGUUACCUCUUUCAGCAGAUCCCCUAGCUCGGCGACUUGGGGGACUCCUACUACAUGGUUUGUAUCGCGCUUGACCAAGCCUGAAACUACAAGUAAGCUUCAAGUGACAUUGAUACAUUACCUUGUGCAUCUUCCACCAGUUACAGAUACCACCCCUGGAUGGAGGAAGAGUACUUCCAGAGAAGAUUCCACAUCUACCUAUGAGACAGAUAAGGAAAGUCAAGACGAUACCACACUCCGGGUACUUAGAAGUUUCGUGGUUACGAGAUCAUUCUCCCACAAUAUUUCCUAAUGUCAUUUGUACUAAAUCAUUCACUUGUACUCCCUAAAGGAGAGCUUGAACCUAUGUACUUGUGUAAACCCUUCACAAAUUAAUGAGAACUCCUUUAUUCCGUGGACGUAGCCAAUCUGGGUGAACCACGUACAUCUUGUGUUUGCUUUCCUAUCUCUAUCCAUUUAUAUACUUAUCCACACUAAUGACCGGAGCAAUCUAGCGAAGAUCACAAAAAGUGACCGUUUUCGCUACCUAGGAUCUAUCUUGCAAGAGAACGGAGAAUUAGAUGGAGAUCUCAACCAUAGAAUACAAGCUGGAUGGAUGAAGUGUAAGAGUGUAUCCGGCGUGUUGUGUGAUCGUCGUAGGCCACUGAAGCUCAAGGGAAAUUUUAUAGGACGGCAAUAAGGCCAACGAUGUUGUAUGGCACAGAAUGUUGGGCGGUGAAGCAUCAACACGUACACAAAAUGGGUGUAGCGGAGAUGAGGAUGCUUCGUGGGAUGUAUGGGCACACGAGAAAGGAUAAGAUUGGGAAUGAGGAUAUCCAAGGUAAAGUAGGAGUAGCCAAAAUUGAAGGAAAUAUAAGAGAAAAUCGGUUCCGGUGGUUUGGACAUGUGCAAAGAAGGCCUACUGACGCUCUGGUUCGAAAAUGUGAUUACGGGACAGAAGUUAAGGGCCGAAGGGGUAGAGGAAGACCUAGGAAAACUUUGGAAGAGACCCUAAGAAAAUACUUGAUUACUUGGAUCUAACGGAGGACAUGACACAAAACCGAGCGCAAUGGCGUUCUAGGAUUCAUAUAGCCGACCCCACUUAGUGGGAAAAGGCUUUGUUGUUGUUGUUGUUGUAGUUUGUGGGAAAGCUACGGUAGUCCAUCUCUUUGGAGGUCGGGAAGACUUACAGAGGCAUUUCAGCUAUCCUCUUACUAUCAUCAUGUGAUUCACUAUCGUUAAAAAUCGAACCUAUGACAAUGUGUGGAAUGGGAAUCUAAAAUUGAUGAAGCAUUUGUAAUUUCAAAAUUUCCCCCUCCAUACAUAUUUCUUUUAUCAAGCCCUCCUUACAUAUAACAAUUGGAAAAAUUAACUUAAUUAGUAUGGGGUAAAAUAGUAAAUUAAUACAUGCGAAUUAAAACCACUCCACGUUGGGGUAGUUACAAACUUUUUUUAAGUACGCUUGUGACAAGAGAUUUGUGUCUACAUUGAUUUUGGUCGCAAUUAAUUUGAAAAGUGAGAUGGAGAUCUUGGUGAUGUUGAUUUAAAGGAGGCCUCCUCAUCGGACGGUGUUGGUGAAUAGCACCAUGCAGCAGUCAAUGGGUGUUGUGUGCAAACUCUGGUCAUCUGGUACUUCUCUUUAUUGAAAAAAAAAAAUUAAACGAAAAAAAAAUGCAAGAUAACUAUUUUGAAGUGCCAGUAGCAAUUCUUCGAGAAUGAAAUUAAAAAAUGUGGUCAAGUUCUUCAAAUCUAGUUGAAUCUGCUAAACCAUCACCUGUUAAAAGAGAAGUUAUAAACAUUACCAAAAUUGUAUCAAUCUUAACGAAGACAUCAAAAAACAAAAAUUGGAAAAGAAAAUGAAAAUUGUUUGAAAUCAAAAUCUCUAAUUGGGUGGCAUGAAAGGGAAAAGGGAGAGACUCUCAGGAACAAUAAAAAUGAGUGGCAUGGGAGAGAACUCAUGUUAUGUCAUUUUCUUAAUUUUAUGAAGAAGAGAAGAUGGACAUAGAUUGUGAGAUCGCCCUCCCUACCACUCAUCUUCACUGGCUUUUGAGAGAUUAUCUCCCAUUUCACCUCAGCCAAUUCUAAGAAUGUAUGUUGUGGUUACAUGACUAUGAUGCCUUAAUUUAUAGAAACUCGAGGGCACACAGAUUCAGAAAACCAACCUUAGAGCCCAUGGUUAGUAACGCUAGCAAUCUCGAGAAAAGCAUGUGUGCGUUCACGUGAUAAGAGAGAUGAAACGCCUAAAUUUGACUUGACAAUAAGGGAAAAUAAUCUAAGAGUCAUAAGGGUUGUGAGUAUGUUGUCAGUUUCCUUUUCCUUAUGAGACCCAUCACGGUUGGUGAAUAGAGGCCUGGUUUGGUAUUCUUGGAUCUGAUAUCUCGUCAUUGCAUUCACCUUGCACAUUUUCCAACCCAAAAAACUUUCAACUAAUGUCCGACCUUAUCAUAAGCAUAUUUAAAAACAUGUGGUCCAAUAUUUUAUUGGAUAUCGUGCUGGAUAUCUAACCAUGAGUCGUCGAUUCGAUGUACUAUAUGCAAUACAGGGAAAAAAUAUUGUUCUCAAUUUGUAAAAUUCUAAGUUUUGUUCAUACAAAUCACCCCUUUUUAUGUUGAUGGAAAUUAAUCGAGAUUCACUACAUCGCAAGUCUCUUUUUUGGUCAAAUGUUUACUUUAUUUAUAACACAACAGAUUACAAAAUAGAAGGCCCAAAUACAAUAAACACACAAACAAAAAGACAGACCUCCAUAGUAACCUAACAGCCCAAAACAUAGUUUUGAACCCUAAACAGGAAAAACACCAAAGCAAACCCUAGUAGCUUUCUACUUCCGUCGUCAACCCGCUUGCCGAACGAACAAUCCUUGCACCCAUCAAGAAAUCAAAAUAACUAAAGCGCCAAAGCUGGAUGAAAACAGAGCUACAACAGGACCCCAAAACAGAGCCCCAAACUCCUCCACAGCACACCACAGCAGUAGCCGCCACAAAUCGAAGGAAGCUAGCGGGAAAAAACCCACUAGCAACAGUGCCAACAAAGGCAAACCAAAGGAAGGAGGUGGUGUGAACACCGAGCCUAAGCUCUACUCCCCUUCCGGCAGAAGUGCGAUAAAUAGCGUUGAAAAAAAGUGGGAGCCAAGCAGGACUGAGAGAUCGAAGAAGGAUGAAGCCGAUCCGGAUUGGGGAACGUGGGGGGAAAGAGAGGGAAAUGGUGGAAAGAAGGAGAAAAGGUGAAAAAGGUGGAAGGAAGACGAAAGGAAACAAAGGGGAAAAGUGGAAGAAAGGAAGAAAUGGGAGAAGUUGGAAAAGGGACUGAGGUCAAAGAAAACAGAUGCACAGGGGGUUGAGUGGCAAACAGGCCACUGGGCGGGGGUACAUGGAAGAUGAAGGAGAAGGAGAAGGAAAGAAAAGGAUAAAGGAGAAAGGAGAAGGGAGAAGAGAAGGACUGCCACCGACCCUGGCCAUAACUAGGGUUGGUGGCUGCGGGAAGUAACGAAGUGGAGGACACACACACACAACAGGUAUAACAAGUUUCGGAACCGGAAGGCGACGUUCCGUUCCUUAUUCGUAAUUUUUUUCACACAUACCGCAAAGCUUUUGAAAUGAACAAACCAACUCGUAUAUGUUCACUUCAGACCUAGGGGAUAAGAACGAUAGAUCCAGAUGUUUUCCUGUUCUCAAGGUCUGUGUGUGCCUGUGCUGCUUCAGAUAAUGAGUAGGAGUGAUUCACUCGAACCCGCAAUAUACCCGAUGCAACAUUAGCAAAUACCUCUCCUGCGGCCUCUAACAAUUCCUCUCGAGUUGCAGCGUAAUGAAAGAGGCUAGGCCGAGUCAAGAAGAGUGAUUUCGCUGCAAUAGCUGAUAAUGGAACCGGAUCAGGCGCACCUGAUGACUGCCCAAAAUUCACCAUAUAUCCCCGAAGUUUUAAGACUUCCAGUGAUCCCUGAAAACAAUAACUCACGAUAAGAAUUCAUAGUCGAAAACAUUACUUAUCUAUUAGAUGAUGUCAAUGUUGGAGUUGAGUAGUUUGGAUAAAUCAUGACACGCUUAUGAAUAGAAGACAAGUAUAACUUACCUCAAACGUAUCCUUCCCUACAGAAUCGUAGACAACUUCAACCCCAUUGUUGGAUGUUAUUUCUUUCACACGAGCGACAAAGUCCUCGUCCUUAUAUAUUAUGACGUGGUGGCAUCCAUCCUCCUUGGCCUGAACUGCCUUUUCUUUAGUUGAUACAGUCCCAAUGACAGUCGCACCAAGGGCAUUAGCCCACUGGCAUAAAAGGGAUCCAACUCCACCAGCUGCUGCAUGAACAAGGACUGUGUGUCCAGGUUCGACCUGUAUAACAAUGGUCGAGUCAGAUCUUUUCACACUUAGCUGUGAUGCUUUUCUUAUUUCCGCAGACUGUCCAUCAUAACGGAAACAAGAAGCGUACCACAAAUGAAAAAGUGAAAGAGAAAAGGAAUGGCAGUUUUCCCAUGUAUCAGAUAGUUAAAGGAACAGAUUAAUAGAGAGAGAAAGCUUCUCAACUUCUAUGAGUGCUCAUGAUUCGCACAUGAAAGGGUUACACACAACUCAGCUUACGUCGCCGAAACAGGGACAAUAGCUAAAAUUGGUUCAGCGGUACACUGAAUUUCAUUUACUGAUUUACAUUUGCUGGCAGUGACCAGUAUUAUUAGUAACAAAUAUUCACCUUGACAGGAACAGUAUGCGUAUGAAACAAAGAGCUCUAUAAAAACAUUCUGCAAUUCCACAUUUAUUUUCAAGAGAGAUUAAAAAAAGCAGAUGCGGGUACAUAUGUGUAAAACUACCUUGAAACAGCGGCGUAGUAGAAACUGAGCUGUCGUACCCUUAAGCAUGAGGGAGGCUGCAACUUUAGGAUCAAUGGAAGGAGGAACAGGCACAGCUCUGUUUGCAGGAAGGAUCUGCUCUUGCGCAUAUGAGCCCAUUUGCUGACCAGCAUAGGCUACAAGAUCUCCAACUUGCCUGCCCGUUAGACCUGGUCCCACAGCUGUCACGACUCCACAAGCCUCGACACCUGGAAUCAGUUUUGGUUUAUACAUAAAUAGGGUAACUAGUAACUACAUCAGUGAUGUCCCAUAAAGUUUUAGAUGUAUAUAUACACAAUAAAACUAUUGGUGGGAACUGUUAUCUGAUUUCAUGCUCUGCACUCUUGUUUUAAGUUCAUCCAAAUCAUUCCUCGAAAUUUAUACUCAUGGGAGAGGUUGACAGUUUACACAAAAACUGUCAAGAAACCCAAAAAUUUUAAUAGAACGUUGAAAUGUAUCUCCAUAAUCUCAAAAAAUGAAUUUUUAUUCUAUCAGUGAACUUGUUGAAAUGAAGCAAAACCUGGGGUGUAGGGAAGCGUAGCAGCCUUAUAAAGGCCCUUGCGGUAGUACACAUCAAUGAAAUUAAUCCCGAUGGCCUCAUUCUUGACGCGAAUCUCGCCCUCCUUUGGCUCCCCUACUUCCACAUCUUCCCAUUUCAACACCUAACAUGAUCAGAUGGCAAAUGUAAGAAAAACGAUUAGGAAUUAUUGGCAUAAACUAAUAACCAAAGCAAAACUUUAACGAAAUGGAUAUCGAAUAAUCAGUAUCAAAGUGAGUAUAAAUCGUUUUCGGGUCCAAUUGCCGGCUUAUGUGAACGAUUAUAAAAGAAAAGCACUUGAUAUGGCACUAUAAACUCUCUACCAGACAGUAUAAAUUGAAGCUUAUCAUCCAUCAACAAGCAUGCUCACUUCCAAAUAAAUUAUCAUAGCACGGAUCAGAAGCAAUUCUCAAAUUCAAUGAGUCAAAAUUACAAACAAUAAAAACAACUCAGAUGCUUCUUAAUUAAAUUGGGCUGAUUCUGUUUUCUCAUACAAAUCAAAGCACAACCCAGAAUUCCAAUUCAUAAACAAUAUAUGUAGAGAGAGAGAGAGAGAGAGAGAGAGAGAGAGAGAGAGAGAGAGAGAGAGAGAGAGAGAGAGACCUCAGGGCCACCAUGUUCAUGGAUUCGGAUGGCUUUGACCAUCUUUGCUGCUGGUGGUGAUGCUGCUGCUUCAGUGGCAACUGAUCUAACUGCUACUGAUGAUCUCUGGGUCCUGGAAGGUAAACAAUUGAUGAAAUUGUUGCCGGAAAUCUGUGAAAAAUGUGUGAAUUUUGGAGCCGACAGCAACUGGAAAUAGGGCGGUGGACUUGUGAUUAAGAAAGGGGUUAAACUUAAACCGCGGUUCUGGAUGCUAAUUGGAAGUAAACCCAUUUCGGUUUUGACGUUGCUGAUUUGAUUUGUCCUACGUCGGAAUUGUAUCCGCUCUGAGAUAGCGGCCGGAUGAAGAAAGGCCACCUGCAGGGUUUUGUUUCAGCCCAAAAGAAUGGCAGGCCCAAUCAUUUUGGAGGGAAUGUGCUUUUGUGGAUGGACACGUGGGUGGCAAUGAUUUUGACACGUGGUUAGUUGAGGGGUGACUGAUCAAAUCUCAUGUGUACUGUGUGGAAUGUGGAUCACUCUCAACUAUAUUUCAAGAACAAGGAAAAUAAAUUGUACUUGUUACUUUCACAUAUGAUCAAUGGUAUGUUUUACAAUACAUGUAUCACAUGUUCAAUGACGGAACUAACAUUUUAUAUUGUUAGGGGCUUCUUAUAGAAAACGUAUUUCAAAAGAGAAGUUUGUUAACCCGAUUGAUAUUUGAGAGUAGAAAGAAACUAUAGUGUUAAGGACAUUUUCUCUCAGUGGUUAGUAUUCAUGUUCUAAUUGCUCUAUCCUUGUAUGUGUUCCUGCUCUAAUAAAGCGGUACUAUUAGAUGUAACAAUUGUGUCAUUUUUGCCACUUUUUUUUUUUUUUUGGGUUAUUGGCUUGGAUGUCCAUUAAUUUAAAGAUGCAAACUUUCAAUGUGUGACAACUACGAGCUGGUGGUCCAGUGGAUUACAAGACUUCCUUAAAACUAAAAACUGGAGGUGUUGGGUUCGAAACCCGUUGCUGGUGUGGAAGCCAGACUUGUGGUCAUGGGGAGGCUGAAAUGUCUCUGUAAGUCUUCUCGGCCCCUGAAAAUAGUGUAUAAUGUUGUCCUCAAAAAAAAAAAAAACUUUCAAUAUGUGGCAAAUGUGAGUUGUGGCAUUAAGCCAUAGUAUGUGAUAUUACAACAUAAAACGUUACUUGAUAAAUUAGACGUACCAAUUUAUGUAUAACUCAUGACUCAUGGGACCAUCCACCUCAAUAUAUCCAUAUAAGAACAAUCCUCUCCCUCUCUCUCUCUCUCUCUCUCUCUCUCUCUCUCUCUCUCUCUCUAUUCCGUUACUCUCCCGCUAACAACUUUCAUCCCAUCACAACCACAACGCUCCAAACCCAACGUCACCCAAAACAGAUCCAACGGCCAAGAAAUUCCAUCCCCAACAACCAAGAAACACAUCCGACGCUCCACGUUAAAAACUCAGUAAGGCAACCAAUCAAAACGCCCGUCAUUCAAAGUCACUGCUCCUCCGGUCUCCCACGCGCCAAGACAAACGCGCGUGAAAAAGCCGCCGCGCGCGAGAUUAUCGCGUUCAUGCAGCAGAGCAAAACGACGUCGAGUGUCCGCAGCGAUUUCUGUAUUUAUGAGAUUGCAGACAAACAAACCCGCAUGAACGUCCGAAUAAUGCAGAAUCGAAUUUACCCAGCGGUAAAUUCUAGAAGGUUGUUUGGGUAAAUCGGUCUGCAUCCCGCAGGCUUUAUAAGUAUCUACUGCGGUGAAAAGUGUGAGUUUUUGGUGGAAGCUUGGGUUUUUAACUGAGUGGUGAUUUCUCUGUGGGAGUGUGAAAAGAGUGAGCUUUUUCUUCGAUUUUCUUGGAGAGGAUGAGCAAGUACUUGGAGAAGAAGCAAGUCCAAAACAAGCCAGAAAGCAAAAGCACUUUUUUGGCCACACAUGCUCUGCUCACCUCUGCUUCUGCUUCUCCUUCUUCCUCACCCGUUUCUUCUCUCGGUACGUACUUUCAUCGAACACAUUGUCUUCAUAUCUUCGUCUUCCUUCUUCUUAUUCUGAUCAUUUCCGUUUCGGUUUCAUUUUUUUUUUCCUGAUGUGAUUGUUUCUUUUGGGUAUUUUGCAGAUGCUAUCGAGCACAUUAAAGUCGGCUGUUUCUACCAAAUGGACCAGUCCAAGCUCCAUGGAAGAACAGUACCAGAGCAGCUCAGGGCCGUACGGAUCGUCAUGGUACUACUUCAUAUUUUCAUUACCCAUAAAACACACAAAAACCCACUGAUAAUUUUCGCCAUUGUUCUUGAAUCUGGUUUAUAUUUUUCAGUUUUUUUUUUUUUGUUGGUUUCAAUCAAAUGGGGUUUUUUAUUUGGGUUCGUUUGAUUUGUAUACAGGUGAGUGCGAAGGGCGCGUUUAAAGUGGCGGUGAGGUUUCCGAGCCUUCACUCUCUCCACGCUCAUAUCUCCGCAAAGGGGUAUCCAAAACAAGACGCCAAGCAGAUUCCGGCGCUCAACGAGAAGUAUGUGAUGUCCCCGGAAAUGGCGUCGGAGGUGCUUUACCGGAGAAUCCCACCACAGGAGAUGGUAGAUCGGAGCAACAUUUGGAGCUUCUGGGCCGUUCAACCUCCGUUGAAGAAUCACCCGAGAAGCACGUUGUCGAGCCCAGCAGUAAGUGGCGGAGGCGGAGCCAUUACUAGCAGCGUGGUUCCUAAAAAGGGUCCGUGUUGGUCCGAGCUCACGUUUGCCGGAAUGGUGAAGUGGGGCAAGCGCCGGCAGAUUCGCUACCUCCGGAGGCACGAGUCGUCGCCGAGCUCUGGCUCUGACGAUGAAGAAACGGAGAAGGGAAGGGAGGUUAUGGAGCUGGAGGAAGAUAGCGAUGAUGGUUUCACUGAGAAAGUAGUAACUGUGAUAGACGAAGACGAUGGCAUUGAAGAAGAAGAAGAAGGUGAGGAGACAGAGGAAGAAGCUGCUCCUCAUGUUCUGCCAUGGAAGAUGAACCUCCGGAGUCGGAAGCGGAAGCAUCCCGAUAAUAAGAGAAAAAUCAAAUCUCCAACCCAAAAGCGAUCAAAAUCCAGAGCAAAGCCUCCGAAUCAGAAUAACCAUAUUGUAGCAGUUCCUGAUCGCAGCAGCAGAAAAUUGGCUAAAGUUAAACACACAGUAGCAAGAUGGUCAGCAGGAAGGUGAGAAUGAGAUUAAUAUAGUAAUAUCAUUAAUUGGGUUUAUUAAUCUGUUAAUUAUAUUAACUGGGUCGAUUUUUGGGUUUAAUGAUCGUGGGUUCUUAACUUGAUUUGGGUUUUUUGCAGGUACAAGCUGGCGGAGGAGAACAUGUUGAAGGUGAUGAAGGAGAAAGGGGCGGCGAUUGGGAACCCAAUACGGCGGCCGGCGCUGAGAGCGGAGGCUCGGAGGCUGAUUGGAGACACGGGGUUACUGGAUCAUUUACUCAAACACAUGGCGGGCAAGGUGGCGCCUGGUGGGACGGAGAGAUUUAGGCGGCGGCACAACGCCGAUGGAGCCAUGGAGUAUUGGCUGGAGAGUGCUGAUCUGGUCCACAUCCGGAAGGAGGCUGGGGUUCAAGAUCCUUACUGGACCCCUCCGCCGGGGUGGAAGCCCGGCGAUAGUCCCACCCAGGACCCCACUUGUGCAAGAGAGAUUAAGGAGCUCCGUGAAGAAAUUGACAAGAUUAGAAGGUAGUUAAACACGUUUUUAGUCUCUUAAUUAUGGUAUUAGUCUCUUAACUGUUUGUGACACACUGGAUUUUUACAGGGAGAUGGAGGAGUCCAAGCAGCAAGGGAAUGCUGGUUUGGCUAUGGUGACCGCUUCAAAUUCUAAUUUGACCGGUGUUGACUUGGAUCGUUACGGUUCAUUAAUCCCGAUUAAGGUUGUGACUUUGUUUAUGAUUAAGUUUGAUUAUAUUUUCUUAAUCAUGAUUAAGUUAUGUACUUAAUGUUUGAUAGGGUUUUAUCAUUUUUGCAGGAGGCUUGUGCAGAGCUGGAGAAGAAGAUAGCUAAGAUGGAUGAAGAAAGGAUCGAGUUUGUGACCAAAAAAGAAGAACAAAUGAUGGAGGUUACUCAAUCUUUGUCCGGAAUUAAGGUAAUUAAUUGACCCCCUAAUUAUCUUAAUUAUGUCUGUCUUAAUUGCGUUUAAUAAAUACAUUGAUUGGUGGAGGUUUAAAUGUUAAUGCAGGAGAAAAUCAGGAUGUUCGAAUCAAGCAAGGAAGAUGCAGUCACAAUUUCAGGAGCACCACCACCAUCAGAAGCAAAACCAGCCGGUGAGAAGAAAGAAAUAGAUACACUAAGCGGCGGAGACAAGGCGGCUGCGGCGGCGGAGUGCAAGGCGGCAAAAAUAGAGAGGCUGAGGAGUGGGUUCAGGAUAUGCAAGCCGCAAGGCACGUUUCUCUGGCCAGACAUGGGCAGCCCCACCAACAUUCCCAGUCCUUCUUCCCAGAUUCUGGCCCCACCACAUGACCUCUUUGUGGUCCCCACCCCACCCUCAUCCUCCUCCUCCUCCUCCGCUCCCCGCCCCCUCAUCAGCCCCACCACUCCCCCUGUGAAGCCGGUGGCUGAGCGGCGCCCAGUGACCACCACCACAUUGUGCAAUGUGACCACAAUACCCUCUUCCACUCCUAUUGUCGCUCCUCCACCUGUCCUGGCCCCACAGACCCAGAGUUCCACUACCGUCACCAUCAGUAAAACCCUACUCAUAAACCUCAACGAGCUCCCUGCAACAACAGCACCGAACCCUAACCCUAAUCCCCAAACCAGCUGUGAAGCUAUCACUACGCUCACCACCUACCACAGAAGACACCACCAUCAUCUGCCACGUGUACGUCUCUCACCCCCUUCUCCUUCUUAAUUGAUCAUUUCCUCAGCCCUAAUUAUCUUAUUAAAUUAAACUAAUUACAUUUUUUUGUGUGGAAAUUAUGCACAGAUGGUGAAGGAGGAGGAGGAGGAGGACGACGAAACUGCAAGAAACGGUGAUGAUCAGCAGAGGCGGUGCGCCUCUCCUGCUUCCACCUGGAACGGAGAGAAAUGGUGGAUGGCUGUGGGAAAUCCUAGCACUUCUUUGGAGGGUUGAUUUUGGACCGUUGAUUCAAUCUUGCAGCGGGGCUAAAUAUAUAUGGGGUAUACUUUAUAGGGCUACUUUAUAAUUAUAGGAAAUUGGCGGGUAUAGAAAUAACUGUAUCUAGGUAUACAUGAUGAUUAGGGAUUUUGCACUAUAGUCCAAAAAUUGGGUUUUUUGCUGGCAUUUUUCUAAGAUUGCUGGUAUGCCAUUUUGGACACGGAUAAAGAUUGGUUUUGUCCAAGUGAGAAAAUCAAAAGGAGGCUAAAUUUUGUCACACACACGUGUGAGCGUGGUUAAUAUAAUUAAUAUUAUGUAUAAUAAGGCAAUGAUAUGUGUCCUUUUUAUUAAUGCUUACUUUUAACUAUGCUUUUAGAAAUCCAUUUUAUUUUAACUUUGCUUUUGUAAUAAAAAAACUGUCACCUUACUCUCUAAACCGCAAAAUUUUAUCCAGUUUACCUCAUGAAACUCGAUUUUGGAUGGGAACCCUCCUUAACCGCUUGCAGUCGACAAUUUGAAUAUACUAAGAUUUGGAAUUGCAUCAUCUUCCAACUUCCAACUCUUCCAAAUUUUCCAACACGUGGAGAUGGCAAGUUCCCAUUUAGUCUUGGUAUUGCGGGUGUAGGCUUUUUUUUCCAGGAAACUUGGAAGAGGCUUGGUGCAGUCUAUUACUGUCAACUUGCUUUCUUCAUUUUUGACAUCUUUUGAGAGAUCUUAGGUUCGAUUUUCACAUAAGGCGAGUUUGAACCACUUUAUUGCUAGCUCAUUGUGAGGCUAAGUUCACCCAUUUCCCGUGUUGAUAAUACCAUUUGUUUUAAAAAAAAAUAUCUCUGAAAACCUUGGAUGUUUGGUUUAAGAAAUUCAAAAACCAAGAAUCUAGAUCAAAAUGCCAUUCUGAAGCUGAUGGGGUGUCCUAAAUUUUAGCCCGAGACUCGUGUAUCAGGCAGCUUACUUAAUGACGCAGCCAACAGAAGAGAGUUGAGAAAGUGAUGGGAACACAGCCAUCGACAGACUACAACGACAGCCUUGGCCAAGGAAUCGAAAAGUUGGUAACGUCCAAAGACAUCAGAAAAGUGUCGACGAUGACCAUAAGACCAUCACACAAGAUUAUCUGUGUAUCCAUUCACGUGUUAUGAUAUGAGAAGAAGACUGAUUUAUAUUAUCAGGUACCCAAGAAACUCAUUGUGUCACAUCAACUUCAACAUAGUAUAUAUUCAUAGGCUUGCAGGACUAUGAGGGAACCCAUAAACAGUUACAAACUAAAACCCCUAAUAUAUGUUCCAGAUCCAUAUGUCAAACAAAACCAAACCAUAGUACUCUACAAAUUAUAAGUUGGUAGAAUCCAUAUCGGAGGUACAUCGGUCUUGCUCAUCAGAGUCCCAGCAUCUCCGUGGAACGGAUUUUCUAAAAGCCUCUUUUCCUCGACGUUGUAGACGCCAUAAUCAAAAGCUCCACUUGGUCCAAGGCCUCCUUCAACCACAAGAUGAUCAUGAAUGAAGUAUAUGCAAUUCGCUCGAUAUCCCGACUUUGAAGCACAAACAGAUAUUGAAGAGUUGUUUCCCAGAAACAAAGCAACGUCACCUAAAGUGUUCUUCUCCGUGCACUCACCCUUGCUGAUAUUUAGUUCAAAGACUCUGAAUCUUUUUGUCUUUGUCUCAUGAUCGUCAUAAUGGUCCAUGCACCUUCGAACGAUCAGCAUUGUUUUCUCAUUACAAACCACAAGAUAUUCCUUGCAAAUAUAGUUGUCAUCGACUACAAAUCCGCCUAAAACCACUUUCACAGGUGACACAGACUGAGUAGCAACAUCCAAAGAAUAGAGUUGACGGAAAUAAUCAACAAGAUAAAAUCUCUCUUCAACUGUAACAACUUCAGCGAUAAAAAACCUUCUUUGCUCAACCGUUUCCGUUUCAGGGACAUAAGUCCAAUUACUGUCUUUGUUAAGUCGAAUAAAAGCCAAUUUGUACAUGUUCGCAAACAUGACCAUAACAAUGCAGUUGUCGGCAUUUAGUAUUGGAUCUUCUGAAAUUGUAGCCUUGUAGACAAAAUAAUCUCCACGAUGAGGAGGCCGAUUCAAAUCUGCAGGGCCUAGCGGAGGAAGGCGAAUUAUUGACUUUUCAUGAUCUCUUCUCCCUCCAACACCAAAAAGGAAUGGAUUUAUCAGUGACACAACACGUUUCUCAUCCACAACAAUUAACCAUCCUUUUGAAGACCCACAGAAUAGUUGUCUUCCCAAACUCAAUUGGGUUUUAAGAACCUUGUCGGUCACCGGAUUGUAUAAAUGCCACUUAUCAUUCUCUGCAUCAGAAGAAAUCAACAUCAUCGGAGUUGUCGUGACGGCACAAUGGGUCUGUAUACCCUUUGCAGCCGAACACCAUGACCUGCAAACAAAGCUAAAUUCUUUUGGUGUCUCCAGUCUCCCUACAACUAAAUUUAAAAUCUCUGUCGGCAACGCGGCCCAAUCUGACAUGAACCAAAAGAUAAAAAACACUGGUAAGCCGAGCUGAUGAUGAAGAAUUAGACCGACGUUCCUAUAUUCUUUGAUCAGCAUGUACCAGUUCACAAACUAAACAGAUAUAAAGAUAAAUCUAAAAAACCCUAAUUGAACAAUUUGAUUUAUCGAUCCAUAGAUUCUAACUCCACAGCAAGAAUUUUUACUAUUUUAUUUUAUUUUCAGGGAAAAUCAGAAGAAAUUGAGGGCGGCUGCCGCUCCGGCUCCGCUCCUUAGGCCAUCUCCAACCGAAGGGUCCAGAGGACCAGAGGGCCGAAAAUAGCCCUAAAAUCGUCUCCAACCGAGGGCUAGGCCAGAGGGCUCUGGAAUCUGGGAGGGCCCCACGGGAUCGGAGAGGGCUGGAGGGCUGGCUAUUUUUUUUUUUAAUGAUUUCUUAUUGCUGUCGGUUAAAACCGACAACAUUAAAGACCUUUUUUUUAAUAGUUUUGCUAUUAGUGUCGUUUAUAACCGACACUAAUAGUUUGAAAUGUUUUUUAAAUAACGGCUAGCUGAGUCAGCUAGCCGUUGGUUGUUUUUUUUUUUUUUUUAUAAUUUAUUUUAAACAUUUUUUUCUUCUAUAAAUAUAGUGAAGUUCUUUCAAUUCUUCACUUCAUUGGCAAUAUUUCCUUCUUCAAUAUUUUUCAAUAUUUCCUUCAAUAUAUUUCUCAAUAUUUCCUUCAAUAUAUUUUCUAAUAUUUCCUUCAUCUAUAAUAUUUGUUUCAAUUUUUCAAUAUUUCCUUCAAUAAAUUUUUCAAUAUUUCCUUCAUUUCUUUUAUAGGAAUAUGGAAAGGAACACUUCGGAUUACACUCCAAUGAGUAAGGCCUAUUUUGAUAGGAAAAAAAAAGAAAUUAUGUCUCGGCGGCAAUUGUUUACCUCUGACUAUACUCCUACAAUGGCGGAUGAUGAAAAUGAUAUUGAUUAUGGAUAUUAAAUUUAAGUCGUUGUAAUUUUUAAAUUUAAGUUAAUGUUGUUUUUAAAUUUAAUUUGUAGUGUUUAAAUAUAAGUUGUUGUAGUUUUUAAAUUUAAAUAAUAAAUUAUGUUUGGUCCUAUGGCCCUUUGGCCCUCGGUUGGAGACGGUUUUUUGUGACAAGGCUAAAACGAGCCAUUUGGCCCUCUGGCCCUCGGUUGGAGACGGAGGCAAAUAUGACCAUGUACUGUUCAUUAAAAUAUUAAUAUCUUGGGAAAUCUUGGAGGGCUAGAGGGCUCAAACGAGCCAUCUGGCCAGCCCUCGGUUGGAGAUGGCCUUAGGGUUUGACUAGGGAUUAAUCUUGCCUUUCGGAGUGUGGGAUGCCUCAGCCUUCAGAAAAAUAAAUAAAUCAAUCAACAGUACAACGAAUAAUAAAAUGCAAUUGUAGACAUCGAAAUUUCGGUAAAUAAAUGUUGACCGAUAAAUCAAAGUGUCAACCCUCAUGUAUUACAUAAAUUUUACACGUAGCGUGUGACUCAACGAAAAUUGAAAUGAGUUGGAAAAGUCAUCAAAUAGGACACGUGUCAACACCUGGCAGAAACGACUUAUUUCAUCUGAGAUAUUAUAUUCAAAAUUGGGCCUUGAAAAUUUCUAUAAAUAGAAGCCAAUUUCAUUCAUUUCAAAAAAAACCAAAAAAAUCAUUAGGCAAAACUCUUGAAGCUCUGAAGCUCUGAAACUCCGAAGCUCUCAAGCAUCCAGGUUCCCGAAGAAUCAAGAAAGCGUUCUUCGUUCAUCGUUCAUCCUAAGAUCAAGCCCCGACGGCCCUUUGGAUCAACAAUCAUCCACCUUCAAGCCCAAGCCUCAACGGCCCCCUUGAAGAAAGCGUUCAUCGUUCAAGAUCUGUUCAUCCUCAAGGAUCAAGCCCCAACGGCCCCUUUGGAUCGACAACAUCAACAAAUCCGCUCAUCCGCUGUUCAUCAAGCCCAAGUCCUGACGGCCCUUGAAGAAAGCGUUCAUCGUUCAUCACUGUUCUUCGAGAUCAAGCCCAAAAGCCCUCGAAGAUCUGUUCAAGCCCAAAAGCUCUCGAAGAUCCGUUCGUCACUGUUCUUCGAGUUCAAGCCCAAAAGCCCUCGGAAAUCCGUUCAUCACUGUUCUUCAAGAUCAAGCCCAAAAGCCCUUGAAGAUCCGUCAAUCACCAUUCUUCAAGAUCAAGCUCAAAAGCCCUUGAAGAUCCGUUCAUCCUCGUUCAUCCAAGAUCAAGCCUCGACGGCCCUUGGAUCAAUCGCACAUCCCACAAAUCAACACCUUACGGAGAUCGAAUCAGAGGAUCAAAACAGAGAGAGAUUGUAACCUAAAAUCAUCAAAUACAAAUAUUUUGUUUGUGCGCGUUGUUCUUGUCUCUUUCGUUUCAGGAAUUUUCCGUGUUCACAAAUUGGCACGCCCAGUGGGACAAUCUCUACCUCUCAUCUCUUUCUCCGUUCAAGGAAUCCAAACACACCUCAAAGUCAAUGACAUCAAGCAAGGGACAAGCCGUUCUCACAAUCACUGAGGGAAGGAUCCUAAGCACUUCUGCCGCAAAUGGACAAUCCAUUGGCGCCACAACCGCUCCUCAACAUGCCACUUCAAAGUUGGUGCCGCUAAAAGAGCAAGGGGAGCAUCAAAGGUGUGAGUCUGUCAUCAACCUGACCUCGCUGGGGGCACCGAAGCAUGCUGCUGAGGCACACAAGAUGACACCCCAAAACAGCCAACAACGUUCUUCAUCAGCAUCCUGGAUGUCUAAAGGAAAGUCACGUUUAUUGGUUGCACAAGUCAUGACCAUCGGCGUUACCUCCAUCGAAGAACAGCUGGCUCAAAUGAAUGAAGCAAUCGCAAGGCUAACCCGAACUGUGGAAGAAAAAGACUUGCAAAUUGCAGCACUAGUCAACCGACUGGAGGCGCAAGACGACGAUAAACCCGACCCAGAGGAUGAUCCACUAAAGGGAGGAGCUGGCGGAGACGAAGAACCCCCGGUGAAGAAAAUCGAUGGGAAGCCGGAGCCAGACCAAGCAACGGCACUCAUGGGAUCUCUUUCUAUCCAGCAGCUACAGGAGAUGAUCACUAACACCAUCAAGGCACAGUACGAAGGGAGCUUACAUACCUCCUUGUUCUACUCGAAGCCCUAUUCCAAGAAGAUUGAUGCUCUAAAGAUGCCAAGGGGUUAUCAACCACCAAAGUUCAUGCAGUUUGAUGGAAAAGGAAACCCAAAGCAGCACGUUGCACAUUUCGUCGAAACUUGCAACAACGCGGGGACGGAGGGAGACUACCUCGCCAAGCAGUUUGUGCGCUCGCUGAAAGGAAACGCCUUUGAGUGGUACACGGACCUAGAACCUGAAUCCAUCAACAGCUGGGAGCAAUUGGAGCGGGAAUUCCUCAACCGCUUCUACACCACCCGCCGCACUGUGAGCAUGUUAGAGCUAACGAGCACAAAACAGUGGAAGGACGAGCCAGUCAUUGACUACAUCAACAGAUGGCGCACUCUAAGCCUCGACUGUAAAGACAGGCUCUCGGAAACCUCUUCAAUCGAGAUGUGCAUCCAAGGCAUGCAAUGGGGUUUGCAAUACAUCAUUCAAGGCAUUAAACCACGGACUUUCGAGGAAUUGGCCACUCGCGCCCAUGACAUGGAGUUGAGCAUCGCCCAUUAUGGGAAGAAGGAACCGAUCGCCGACUACAAAAAUGACAAAGUUCUUGGGCCAAAGGUGGAGAAGGCUACGUGGAAACCCACCAAGGAAGCAAUGACGGUCAACACACCUCCCGUCAAAAUCCCUACACGAGGCAAGGUGAUUCAAGCCGAAGGCUUUCGUGAUCAAGAGAUGCGUAGACACACUUUGAAGGAGCUUGAGGAGAAAACUUAUCCAUUCCCCGACUCUGAUGUGGUUGCCAUGUUAGAAGACUUGCUGGAAAAGAAGGUGAUCGACUUGCCUGAGUGCAAACGGCCAAAAGAGAUGAAUCGCACCGACAGUCCAAGGUACUGUAAAUUUCACCGCUUCAUCAGUCAUCCGACAGAAAAAUGUUUCAUGCUAAAAGAUCUCAUCAUAAAGCUGGCUCAGAAAGGAAUCAUCGAGCUAGAUCUUGACGAAGUGGCGAAGUCAAACUAUACCACCUUCACUUCUGGCUCUUCCGACUCAAAGUUUUCACCUCAACCGCUGGGGGCAUCCUCCAAGACAAGCAAAAUUGAAGGAUGGACUCAAGUCACUCCUAAGAAAUUGCACAAGAAGCAUACGUCUCCUCCACAAGUCUGCCAAUCGGAAAGGGGGCAAAGCAGCUUUUGUCAACCUUCAAAGCAACAUGAACGUGUUGAAGAUGAUGAAAUUUUGACACAUAGAUCGUCCAUCCCCAUCACGAUGCGCGAUUUCUUUCCUGAGGACUUCUUCAACUACUCAGUCAAGGCUCCUUGUUAUGAAGAUUGCGAGGAACGACUCUCUCAGAUCGCUUGACGAACCAAUGCUCCUUGUUCGCAUGAGCCUAAACUGCAUGGCACAAUGCUCCUUGUUCGCACGAGCCUAAACUGCACGAACCAAAGCUCUUUGUCCGCACGAGCCUAAACUGUAGGACAAAAAGCUCUUUGUCCGCACGAGCCUAAACUGUAGGACACAAAGCUCCUCGCCCGCACGAGCCUAAACUGCAUGACACUAAGCUCCUGGUCUGCAUGAGCAUAAAAGGCAACACCAACUGCUCCUUGCCUGCACGAGCUGAAACUGCAACACGGCACCAAAUGCUCCUUGUCUGCACGAGUUGAAACUGCAAACGACACCAACACUCCUUGCCUGCAUGAGUUAAAACUGCAAACGGCACAAAAAGAAAAUACCAAAAAUAUGUAUGUAUUUGAACUACGUUACGACUUGAUCUCUUCUUUGGAGGGGUACGUAGGCAGCUCGAAUGUUCAAUUUUUCGAGUUCAGUCACAUCAAAAUAAAAAAAAAGUGUUUUAUUAAAUAGAGUCAAUUUUAUUACAAAAAGGGAAAAAAUGAAUACAUAUGUUAUUAUGUAUUUACAAAAAAAAAAAAAAAAAAAACAACAACAACAACAAAAAUUAUAUAUAAUAUAUAUUUUUAUAUAGCGGGCCUAGGUCCAGCUCUCACCAAACUCACCAAAUGCCAUGGGCCGGCCCAGUGCCAUCAUCAUCUUCAUCUCAAUCGAUGCAGCCGGAUACCACUGGCCCAAAUCCAAGCCCAACUCUCUUCUCUCUCUCCCUCGGACAGUCUGACGAGUGAGAAUGGAAGGCAAAUCGUACCAAAGGCUCCCGCGCGUCAAAAUCUUCGAAAUGCGUGACGACUACGUGAAGUUUGAGCUCCGCGACACUGACGCCAGCAUCGCCAACGCACUUCGCCGCGUCAUGAUUGCCGAGGUCCCCACCGUCGCCAUCACCCUCGUCGAGAUCGAGAUUAACUCCUCCGUACUCAACGACGAGUUCAUCGGCCCAACCACGACCCUUUCAUCCGAGCCAUCAGACUCCGUAGUUCCUGCACCCGCCACAAAGGGCAACCAUAAACUCACUGAUGCCAUUCUCCCUGAGUCGAAAAACUGGAAAGAAGAAGGCAUAGUGACCCCGGUUAAAGAUCAAGGUCACCGUGGAUCUUGCUGGACAUUCAGCACCACUGGAGCUCUCGAGGCAGCGUAUGUGCAGACAUUUGGAAAGCAAAUCUCCCUCUCCGAGCAGCAGCUUGUGGAUUGUGCUGGAGAUUUCAACAACAACGGCUGCAAUGGUGGGCUGCCAUCUCAAGCAUUUGAGUACAUUAAGUAUAACGGGGGUCUUGACACUGAGGCUGCGUAUCCCUACGUUGGAGUAGACGGUGCUUGCAAAUUUUCGUCGGAAAAUGUUGGCGUCCAUGUCGUCGACUCUGUCAAUAUCACCCUGGGUGCUGAAGAAGAAUUGAAGCAUGCCGUUGCAUUUGUGCGACCGGUCAGCGUGGCGUUUCAGGUCGUCCAAAGUUUUCGGUUCUACAAGUCGGGAGUUUACACCAGUGACACAUGCGGCAGCAGUUCCAUGGAUGUGAACCAUGCAGUUCUUGCAGUUGGGUACGGAGUGGAAGACGGCGUCCUGUUCUGGCUCGUCAAGAACUCUUGGGGACAAAGCUGGGGGGGACGUCGGGUACCGUAGCCGCACCAGCUCAGGUCGCACGUCUUGUAGCAGUUAUGGCAGGUACGAGUCGCCCACUCCUUUAAACUUCUCUGAUCCCACAAUCCCAGUCCAAAAAAAGGUACAGGAAGCUCUUUACCGCCGCCAUUACCGCCAUCGCCGCCAUGCCAGAGGAAGCUUAUGAGAAUGGGUGUGCAGAGAGAUUCGAAGCUCGAUCACAACUACUUCGUGUCCGAGGUCCACGCCUGGACUGUCUCCCUGAUUGAUGGUUGCAUCGAGAGGAGGGAAAUCUUUUCUGCUGCAAGUCAGGGCACCGAGAAACCUCCAUGGGUGCUUGUAUCACUUGCUGUCAAAUAAAAAAAAAGAAUAAAAAAAAAAUCUGGUUGAGGUUUAGUUGUCUUGAGCACAAGGUCUGAUCUCAAUAGGGCAUCUUUGACAAACGAUGACACGGGCAGAAGUGUCAUCUGAGCAUAAGCUUCGUCUGUUUCGGUGUCUGCAUGCAAGAUGACAUGGUGAAGGAGACAUAUUAGCUUGGAUAGUUCGGUAUUUGAUCAUCCACAUCCUUGAAGCCGCAAACUGUUCGUUGCUGGCUCCGCCCUCGUCCUCCUCUACAAGACCUUUCCUUCUGCCCAGCAAGAAUGAUCAGCCACGAACUCCACACCUCCGGCUCCAGCUCUCCGUCCGUCUUCGUCCGCUCCCUGCAAAUUCCUCUACCCACCAUCCUAAUUUAUACAGGAAAAAAAAAAAAAAAAAAAAAAAAAAAAAGUGGUGGUGCGUCUGGCACCACGUGAAUAAAGAAUGGAUGGUGGAGUCUUUGGUGCUCUGGCACCAUGUGAGAAAAAAAUAUAUAUAUAUAAAGGAGAAGGAAUGGUGCCUCUGGCACCGUAGGAAAGUAUAAUAAAAAAAAGAAAAAAAAAAGAGAAAAAGGAAAUCUGGAUUGAUCUGGCACCAUACCUAAAAAUAAAAAAAUUAAAGAAUAAAAAAAGGGAAAGCAAGUAGGAAGGUGGGAUGGUGCGGAUUGCACCAUGUAAAUAUACAUAUACAUGUAUGUACAUAAUAUAUGUAUGUAUAUAGCAAAAAAAAAAUACAUUGAGAGAAAUAAAGUCCAUUUUAUUUAUUUUUUUGGGAAUUUUUACAUAAAAUUACAUUCUACAUACCUUAAAAAAAAAAAAAAAUCAAAUCAAAUCAACUCAAAAUUACAAGAGGGGAUCUUCAAGGACGAUUAGGUGGCGUCUCACAACUCGGCGGAGCUCCAGGAAGAGUAGGUGCUGGAGGUUGACUGUUUGAAGCCUCAGCAGUCGGCAGAGCCUCAGAAGACGAAGGCAAAUGCUGCUGGAACAAACCCACAAACCUCUGAUGAUCAAGUAAAAUCUGACCAUCAGAUUCCUGCAUCUGGUCAAUCUUCCUCUUCAUGUUUGUCGCAUAGCUAUGUGCGAGCUUAUGCAACUGUUUGUUCUCCUGCUUGAGCCCUCUAAUCUCCUGUUUGAGACUCAUCACUUCAGCCGCCAAUGAUUCAACUUGACGGGUUCGAGCAAAUAGGCGUUGGGCCAUAUUAGACACAGAACCUGCACACUGCACACUGAGAGCCAGAGAAUCCUUAACAGCCAACUCAUCAGACCGUUUGGAAAGUAAUCUGUUAUCUCUGGGAGUGACAAGGUUCCGGGCCACCACCGCAGCGGUCAUAUCAUUCUUCACCACUGAAUCCCCAGCGGUAAGAGGACCAGUGGGGGAUAUGAAAGAUGGGCGCCAUAUGUUGUCUGGAGAAGAAGGGACUGCCUCUUCACCAAGAUUCAAGUCAAAACGACGAUCGGAGGGGCCAGACAUUUUCAAAGGUGUUAAAGAAAGAAGAGGUCGGACAAAUCGAGAUCUUAGAAGUGCAAGAAGGUACAAGCAAAAUUUCAAGUGUGCUUUGAAAUGAACUGCCUGCCUCUAUAAAAAAUCAGCACUCGACGGGAUUUCAGAGAUCGAAGAGGCGAGCUCAGAAUUCGAAGAGGCCAUUCAAAAAUCGAAGAGGCAAGCUCAGAAAUCGGAGAAGCAUCUUGCUUUUCCAGACGCGUCGGCACCUGUCAUAUGCAAACUCAGCUUUGCGGAAAUCACGGGUAAUUUGUUGAAGCACCGAUCCCAGAUAUUGAAGAGGCGCCAGUCUUUUUCAGCCGCGUCAUCACCUGUCAUAUGCACACUCAACUUUGCGCAAAUCACAGGCAAUUUGUCGAAGAUUUUCGGUGAAGGAGAAAGCACGUGAAAAUUUACUGUUCAAUCACGCGUUAGUUGCCGACACAAGUGAAAGAAUACUACCUUUACAGGUAUUAAGGGACCUCCUAUAACUGUCCACAUUCACCUUCCAUAGCAAGGCAGACACACAUAGCCUCUCUUCAUCUCAAAAAAAAAAAAAAUGUUUUCCCAACGAAACCUCUCGAGUCAUUCAGUGUUCCUUAUUCCUUGGAGCACCUCCGCAAGCCAAUGACUCCAAAGCAAAAGUAUCUCAUAUCACCAGGGUAGAAAGCAAGAGUAUCUCAUAUCAUACACUCUCCCUAUCCUUUCCUUUGUCCUUGUUCCUACCUACAAAGACAAGGAUAAAGAAAACAAUAUGCCGGAACUUCCACUCAAACUCGGGUAAGGAACCGACUGCUUGGAACCCUUCCCUGAUUGCCUACCUAGCACUGCUCUCGAGUACUCGCCUUCCACUGCUGCUGUACUUUCAAAGAAGCUGCCACAUCUACUUGGAGGACAGAUAAGGCAAGUGAAAAUGAUACCUUGCAGCAUGUGGAGACAAGGUGCAGAAGGAACAAGCAGAGAAGAAUGCGGUUUGCACGAUCAACUCAGCAGAAGGAGUCCGAACUGAGGAACUCGAGAAGCUGCCAUAUCUGCCUGAAGACACAAGCAGAGAAGAAUGCAGCAUGCACAGUCAACUCAGCAGAAAGAGUCCGAGAUGAAGAACUCGAGAAUAUGUCGCAUCUGCCUGAGGACAGUGAACUUGUUUUGACCCUCAAAUUCUUGGGUCGACUUACUAGGCGUUGUGGGCUGCACGUGCCGAUUCACCACCCUUGAAUCGAAUCCUUAAAGAUCAAGUCAUCAACUGGAAGAAAAGCCCAUCAAUCUUGAAGAUCAUACUGUUGACCAAACUGCUCAGGUGUGAAUUAGAAAGAUUGAACAAAGAAACAGGUUGUCACCUUCACCUCGUGCCUGCUUGCCAUGUGUUCGAGUCAACCUUCAAGAAUCAAGCCUCAACGGCCCUUGAAGAAGUUUCCGGCCAAAUUCAAGAUCAAGCCUCGACGACCCUUGAGGAAAUCACAAGUCCGAUUCAAGAUCAAGCGUUCACCAUAUUUGAAUCAAAUCCAGUUCAAGAACAAGCUGUGGAAAAUCAACAAUUGGAGGAAUCCAGAAAAUCCUCCAACCCAGUUCAAGAUCAAAGCUGUGGAAAGUCAACAAGCGCAACAAAAUACGUGCCGAUUCAUCCACUACCAAAGCCAAAUAUCAUCUACCACAUGAAGCUCCUUGUGGCCCAAUUUCAACCUUCAAGAUCAAGCCUCGACGACCCUUGAAGAAAUUUCAAACAAAAGUUCAAGAUCAAGCCUCAAACGGCCCUUGAAGAAAUCUCCAGCCCAAUUCAAGAUCAAGCCUCGACGGCCCUUGGAUCGACAUCUACAGUAAGGGACUUCAAAACGCAUCUCCUACACGUGACAAGCACAUGUAUACGACGUACCUUGAAGUGGGGGCAUUUGUAGACAUCGAAAUUUCGGUAAAUAAAUGUUGACCGAUAAAUCAAAGUGUCAACGCUCAUGUAUUACAUAAAUUUUACACGUAGCGUGUGACUCAACGAAAAUUGAAAUGAGUUGGAAAAGUCAUCAAAUAGGACACGUGUCAACACCUGGCAGAAACGACUUAUUUAAUCUGGGAUAUUAUAUUCAAAAUUAGGCCUUGAAAAUUUCUAUAAAUAGAAGCCAAUUUCAUUCAUUUCAAAAAAAACCAAAAAAAUCAUUAGGCAAAACUCUUGAAGCUCUGAAGCUCUGAAACUCCGAAGCUCUCAAGCAUCCAGGUUCCCGAAGAAUCAAGAAAGCGUUCUUCGUUCAUCGUUCAUCCUAAGAUCAAGCCCCGACGGCCCUUUGGAUCAACAAUCAUCCACCUUCAAGCCCAAGCCUCAACGGCCCCCUUGAAGAAAGCGUUCAUCGUUCAAGAUCUGUUCAUCCUCAAGGAUCAAGCCCCAACGGCCCCUUUGGAUCGACAACAUCAACAAAUCCGCUCAUCCGCUGUUCAUCAAGCCCAAGUCCUGACGGCCCUUUGAAGAAAGCGUUCAUCGUUCAUCACUGUUCUUCGAGAUCAAGCCCAAAAGCCCUCGAAGAUCCGUUCAAGCCCAAAAGCUCUCGAAGAUCCGUUCGUCACUAUUCUUCGAGUUCAAGCCCAAAAGCCCUCGGAAAUCCGUUCAUCACUGUUCUUCAAGAUCAAGCCCAAAAACCCUUGAAGAUCCGUCAAUCACCAUUCUUCAAGAUCAAGCUCAAAAGCCCUUGAAGAUCCGUUCAUCCUCGUUCAUCCAAGAUCAAGCCUCGACGGCCCUUGGAUCAAUCGCACAUCCCACAAAUCAACACCUUACGGAGAUCGAAUCAGAGGAUCAAAACAGAGAGAGAUUGUAACCUAAAAUCAUCAAAUACAAAUAUUUUGUUUGUGCGCGUUGUUCUUGUCUCUUUCGUUUCAGGAAUUUUCCGUGUUCACAGCAAUGUUUUCCAAAAAAAAAAAAAUAAAUAAAAUGCAAUUUCGUAAAACAGGGCGGGCCCAGGCCCAAUGCGGGCAGGGUAACUGUUCAGGACCCAGAAAAAUUAAGGGCAUCAAAAUUAUUAGUGUGACAUAUUUGUGUACGUUUUUAAAAGAGUAUACAUUUAUAAAAUUUGGUUUAAUGACAAAGAAAUUUAACUAGAAUCAGUGAUUUUGUUGUUUUAAAUUAAUGAGGAGGUAUUGGUUUCAAAACACCAUGUGCUUAAUUAAAUUCUAAUUUUUACAAAUUUCUUUUCAUAACAGUAUAAAUUUAUAAAAUUUGGCUAAAUGAUUAGAAGUUUAAUUAGAAGCAAUGGUUUUUGUAUUUAAAAUUUAACGAGAGGUCCUAAGUUCGAUAUGUUAUGUGCAACUUUAUUUUUAAUUACUAGCUAGUAACUAUGUGGGUUGCUAUUUUAAACAUUCGUUCUAAUUCAAGUCUAAUCUUCAACAAAAGGUAAUGCGUAGACUAAUUUUUUAGACCAAAUUUGCAAAUCAUAUGACGUCUCAUUAAAAGGUUUAAUUUGGUACCCAUUCAUUACUUAUACAUAUCCUUAAAGACUCGAAAAUAUCAUUAUUUUCUUAGUCUUAUAUUGACGAGGUUAGUAAAUAAGAAAAAACAUCUCACAAUUUAUACAAAAACACUUUAAAAGUUCAAAUGGAAGAUAAAACUCAUAAUCUAUCUACUUGUAAGCAUGAAGUUUUUUUGCUUCCUUCUCUCGAUACAAAAUAAAUUAGUUUUUCUGUGUUUCUAAAUUACUGAGUUUAAAGUGUUUUUCUAAAUAUAAUUUUAUGGAUGUUUUACGUGUAAAAACAACUAUUUUUUCUUAUGAAGUGAGGACACAUUUUUUGACGUACCCCCGGACCUCACCAAACUUCAAAAGUUUCUGGAGCGGUCCUGGUAAAACAACGACACUUGUCCUUAUUUAAAUGUCCCAAGUACUUAACCAAACAUCCUUUAUUUCUGUAGCCAAACACUCAUCCUCUUCCUCGCCAAAGCACACAAUCA